rnacentral:lncRNA from 1 species
UACAUUAAACCCUUGCUUUUCUUUGUUCCCUCAAUUUAUGUUUAAUCUACGACGGUCACAAUUUGUUCAGGUACCUGGUUUAAAAAAUAAAAAUAAAUAAAAGGCCUUUUUCUUGCCUAUUUUUGUAAUAUGUAAUUGACCUACACUCAUAUAUGGCUCCUCUCUUUUCCUUUCUGUGACAGGUUUUUAACAACAGUCCUGAUGAAACUGCCUACUUUCGAAUGUUACUAAACAGAGAAAACAUUACAAAUGCAGCUGUUAUGAUUCAGCCAUCAUUAAUAUCGUAUUCAUUCAACUCGCUGCCUCAACCAGCAUUAUUGGAUGUGGCUUCCAUUUCAGCUGAUCGUAUUCUCUUGCUAGAUGCAUAUUUCAGUAUUGUUAUAUUCCAUGGUAUGACAAUAGCACAGUGGCGCAACAUGGGUUACCAGAGUCAGCCUGAACAUCAGGUGUGCUCAUUUUGUGUUCAUACCACAUAAAUGUAGAGCUUAAUUUUCAAAACAUUACUAUCAUCAUGUGCAAACGCGAUAUCUGGUGGCAUGAUUUUGAUGUCUAAAAGCUUAUUUCUUUCAACAGGCAUUUUCACAGCUUUUGCAAGCACCUCAUGUUGAUGCCCAAAUGAUUAUUCAGGAGCGCUUCCCUGUCCCUAGAUUGGUUGUAUGUGAUCAACAUGGAUCCCAGGUCAGUAUUUUCAUUGUUAUAUCCAUUUGUCUUUGAUUAUUCCCCAUUUCUGGUUCGUCGAACCAUCUUCGUGUUUAUCUUCAAUCUCUAGUUACAUUGACCUCUCCCUAUAUUCUUCCAUGCCAAGAGCUUAUUUUGGUUUUCCUUGUACAGGCAAGAUUUUUGUUAGCAAAAUUGAACCCAUCAGCAACAUACAAUAAUUCCAUUGACAUGACUGCCGGAUCAGAUAUAAUCUUUACAGACGAUGUAAGCCUACAAAUCUUCUUCGAGCAUCUCCAGAAGUUGGCCGUGCAAUCUUGAUUGUAUAAAACAGUUGAACGACGUAAAUUUUUGUACGUGAAAUUCUGUCAGUGUGGGUUCCCCCCAAUUUUACAAAUGAGAGGUCCAGUACCUUCACAGUAGUUCAUCGGACAGGUGCGGUUAAGGCAACAAUGAGGUCAUAGAGAGUUUGAGAAUAUUAGUUGAAGGAACCCGGUUUCGUCAUCGGGGACCGAUAAGGAACAUACUCGACAGAAUUUCGAUUUUGUUAUUGGUUUUGUAUACAAUCAGAUCAAGUGAGGUGGCAGCCUAUGUGUUGUAUAUAUGGAAUUUUCAGGUCAUGAAUACAUACCUCAAAACUAGGGGUUCAGAGACUUGUAUAGAUGGGGAAGGUAAAUGAAGAUGGGGUUAUUUUUGUUUUGUUUUUAUAUGUCUUGAGUUCACAGUUCAAAACUUUAAAGCAUCCAAAGUUAAAUAUGAAUUUUAUGGUUGGUUUUUUUUUCCUCUGCUUUCUUUUGAUUUCCUUUUAUUAUUUUGCAUUUCUUACUCAAAAUUCCUCAAGCAAAAACUAUUGUAUAAUGCCUCAAAUCUUAUGUAGCUAAAUUUAAAACGAAAAUAGAGUGUUAUCGGAAGGACUUGAUUGGUAUAACUUCAAUAGUUUUGAGGUGUAAUUAAAAUAAUUUGAAGUUUAAGGAUUAAUUUAAAAUGAGAAUCAUAGUUUGAGAAUGUUUGGUAAAAUUAACUAUAAUAAAAAAUAGGAUUCAGUUUCACGCACAGUGUCAGUGGUAUAACUAAUUCUAUUUCUAAUAAAAAUAGGAGAAAAAAAUUAGAAAAAUAAAAAUAUUAGAAAAGCCCGACUCCCGCUAAAAUUCAAAAAUCACCAACUGCCUCUCUCUUUCUCGGAAAGAUGAUGUUUGAUGAUCCGCAAGAACCGGAUAUCUCCUUCGCCGCCGAUCAUUAUCCCGAUCAAGAACAGGAGAAUAUCCAAUGCUCUCAAGGCCACCGCACCACCUUAUCCAUUCGCACCCAACAAGGCGGCUCCAUCUACCUCCUUUGCCUCUCUAACCUCAUCUCCAACCCACGCGCUCCCACUCUCCAUGUCUCCUACGUUCUCUCCCAACUCUCCGACGCCCUUUCUCAACCCCUUUUCCUCACCUCCCUCCUUUCCUUCCACCCUCACUUCCUCAUCUCCCCUCUCCUCCACGCGCUCUCUUCCUUCGACGAUGAUCCCAUCGCUCAACAACUCAUUGAUAUAAUCUCCGCUCUUUGCGCUUCUGCUAGUGAUUCUGUCACCGCAGAUUUCAUUGCGCAAGUUGCCGAAAAACUCUCUUCUGGCGCGUUAGCGUGGAGUCGAAGGCAGCUUUAUAUGGUAAGUAUGUGUGUUUUGAAUCUUUUGAUUGUUGUUUCUGUUGCGGAUCUGUUUGGAUUCUGAGAAACAUGUUGGAUAAAAUGGCAGCAACAACCAAACAAUGAAACACUAAGAGCAUAAGCUCUUCAAACAGCAAGUAGAAAAACACAAAGCAUCAAGAGCAUAAGCUCUCGGUUAACAAGCAAAAAAAAAAUAUGUUUGAUUGAAACCGAAUGAUAAUACCAUUUUCAUUUCAUUUCAAAAUAUAGAGUUACAAAAGUGGAAUGUUUACCUAACAAUUUCCACUAAAUUUGGCAACUUGCCAAUUAAUAAUUAAAAAGAUGAAAGCAUUAUAGCUAUCAUUAUGAAAGCACCAAGUUGCAUAUCAACUUGUUUCAAUUAUAGCUAUCAUUACAAAUAUUAAAAAUAAACAAAAUAAACAAAAUGCACCAAGUUGCUCCUUUGUUGCUUUACAGUCCAUGUUCAACACUCCUCCUUGGACUGUAGGCAACAAACACCAAUUGAUUUCCUUAGAAAUUCAAACCUAAUUGUGCCAAGAGGCUUUGUCAAAAUGUCAGCCAAUUGAUCUUGUGAGCUGUAAUGUAUUAGACUCACUUCUUUGGAUUGGACAACUUCUCGAACAAAGUAAAACUUGAGCUUAAAAUGUUUGGUUUUGCCAUGAAAAACAGGAUUUUUAGAGAUGGCAACUGCUGAUUGGUUAUCCACCAAAAUUUCAGUAGACUUGAGCUGUUCUUCAUUCAAAUCACAUAGCAACUUCCUAAGCCAAAUGGCUUGAUUCACUGCUGCAGCUGUUGCUAUGUAUUCGGCUUCAGCAGUAGACUGAGCAACAGUUUGUUGCUUCUUUGAACUCCAACUGAAAACUCCCGAACCAAGUGUAAAGAAGUAGCCUGAAGUACUUCUCAUAUCAUCAACUGAUCCACCCCAGUCACUAUCUGAGUAGCCAGUUAAUUUCAGCUCACUUCCUUUCUUGAACAUUACACCAAACUUCAAAGUACCUUUGACAUACCUGAGUAUUCUCUUUGCUGCUUUCAAAUGAGUUGUAUUGCAACUGUGCAUGAAUCUAGACAGUAGACUAACUGAAUGCAUAAGGUCAGGUCUGGUUGCUGUCAAGUAAAGUAAACAUCCAAUCGGGCUUCUAUACUCCUUUUCAUCUACCUUUUCUUCAUUUCCAAAGCUGCUUAGUUUCUCUCCCACAGCUAAUGGUGUGCUCACUGGUUUGCUGUUUUCCAUAUGAAACUUAGUGAGAAUUUUCAAGGCAAAUGCAUGCUGGCUGAUAAAAAUGCCUUGAUCAGACUGGUCUACUUCCAUACCAAGGAAGUAAGUCAUGAUUCCCAAGUCUGUCAUGUCAAACAUGUCUUGCAUAUUCUUCUUGAACUCCUGAAUCAAAUCGACCCUGCUUCCAGUCACUAAUAGAUCAUCUACAUAUAUUGAGACAAUCAGCAAAGUCUCAUCUUUGGACUUCUUUACAAACAAAGUUGGCUCACUCAAACUUUUCUCGAAAUUGAGCUUAGACAGGUAAGCAUCUAUCCUGUCAUACCAGGCUCGAGGAGCCUGUUUUAGUCCAUAGAGUGCCUUCUUCAGCUUGUAAACCUUGUCCUCCUUUCCUUGGACUUUAAAUCCAUCAGGCUGUUCAACAUAAAUCUCCUCUUUAAGGAAGCCAUUCAGGAAAGCUGACUUGACAUCAAGCUGAUGGACCUUCCACUGUUUCUGUGCAGCCAAAGCAAACAGGAGCUUUAUGGUGUCCAGCCUUGCUAUUGGAGCAAAUGUCUCCUCAAAAUCAAUGCCAAACUGUUGAUUGUACCCUUUCACCACAAGCCUUGCCUUGUGCUUGUUCAAAGAGCCAUCAGCAUUGAAUUUGGUCCUGAAAACCCAUUUGACACCUAUGACCUUCUUCUGAUCAGGUCUGUCUACCAGAUCCCAAGUGUCAUUCUUAUGGAUCAUGUCGAUUUCAGCCUCUAUAGCCUUCUUCCAGCUCUUGCUUCUUGCAGCUUCUUCAUAGCUUGAAGGCUCAACAAUGGCCACAUUGCAUCUUUGGUAGAUAUCAGCAAUAGACCUGGUCCCUCUCACAGGAGUAUCAUCUACAUUGGCAUUACUGACUUCAUUUUCUGCCAAUUCCAGAUUGUUGUCAAUCUGCUCUUCUUCAAACUGACUUGUGUUAGAGCCAUCUAGACUCCAAAACCUUCCUUCAUCGAAUUUGACAUCCCUGCUUACCAAAAUCUUCUUGGUUGAAGGAUCAAAUACUCUGUAGCCCUUCUUGCAGCUACUGUAGCCAACAAAUAUACCAGGAACUGAUCUCUUCUCAAGCUUGGUUCUUCUUUCUGCAGGGACAAGUACAAAACACAUGCAACCAAACACUUUUAAAUGGGAAACUGUUGGUUUAAGAUCAUACCAUGCUUCAAAAGGAGUUUUAUCAUUUAAAGCAUGUGUUGGCAGCCUAUUGAGCAGGUACACUGAGGUGUUGACACCUUCAGCCCAAAAAAUGUUUGGAAGCUUGCUUUGAAACAACAAACACCUGGUCAUGUUCAUCACUGUUCUGUUCUUCCUUUCACAUACUCCAUUUUGCUGAGGAGUAUACACUGUGGUCAAUUGAUGAUGAAUCCCAGCCUGCUCACAUAGCUUCUGAAAUCUUUCAGACAAGUAUUCAGAACCAUUGUCUGUCCUCAAGGCCUUAAUCCUGCAGCCUAUUUGAUUUUCUGCCAAUGCCUUGAACUUUCCAAAAACUUCAAACACUUCUGACUUUUGUUUCAUGAAAUAAACCCAGCAAAAUCUGGUCAGAUCAUCAAUAAACAGUAUAAAAUACUUACUGCCAUUCAGUGAAGGAGUCUUCAUUGGUCCACAGACAUCUGAGUGCACCAAUUCAAGUCUUUCUCGAGCCCUCCAUGCACAUCUGAAAUAACCUUGUUACCUGAACUAGUGUUGAUCACAACAUCACCUCUGCCUUUAGCUUCAAUCAGAUUCCCAUUGCCUAUUCUGACCUUUGAAGCAAAACUCCUGUCAAGAUCCUUGAACAGGCUCUCAUUUGAUGCCAUGUGAUGUGAGCAGCCACUAUCCACAAGCCAACUGCAUUUGGAUUUGCUUGUGGUUGUAGAACAUGAGGCAGUGAAGACAUGCUCCUCUUGAGCUUGAAGAUCUUCAGCAGUCUUGGCUUGUACUGGCAGAGUUUGUGACUUUUCUUGAUUUCUACAAAUCUUUUCAUGAUGACCAUACUGCUUGCAGCUCUUGCAUUGGAUGUCUGGUUUGUUCCAGCAAUACUUCUCCAAAUGGUUAGUCUUCUUGCAGUGAACGCAUGGUGGAAACCUCCUUCUACCGACAUCUUUCUUUGAUCUUUCCCUCUUUUCAAACCAAGGCUUCUUAGCUUUCUGACUUGAGCUGGAGCCUUCUCUGACCUUUGCUUGAAAAGCACCUUCAGAACUUUCCUCCUGCCUACUUGCUCUUCUCUGCUCAAGUGCAUAAAGUGAGUUAACCAACUCAGACAAAGAAAUGGUUGUGAGAUCUCUCGAGUCCUCCAAUGAGGAGAUUUUUGACUCAAAUCUUUCAGGUAAGGUGGUAAUAACCUUCUCAACAACCCUGCUGUCACUAAAAUCUUCUCCAAGGAGUCUAAUAUUAUUGACAGUAGCCAUAAUCCUAUCAGAAUAUUGCUUGAUAGUUUCUGACUCCUUCAUCUUCAAAUUUUCAAACUCCCUUCUAAGAUUAAUUACUUGUUGCUGCCUUGUCUUGUCUGAUCCCAUGAACUCCUCUUUCAGCUUGUCCCAAGCUUGUUUGGGUGAGUCACAGGCCAUUAUGCGAGUAAAAAUUACAUCAGACACUCCAUUCUGUAGGCAGGCCAUGGCUUUAUGCUUCUUGGCUCGCUCCUCACCAUGUUGCUUGAUCUGAGCAAUGGUUGGAUUUGCUCUCAAUGGUAGUGGCUCGACAUCAUUUUCAACUGCACUCCACAGAUCAAGUGCUUGGAGGUAAGUUUUCAUUUUAACUAUCCAAAUGUGGUAGUUUUCUCCAGCAAAAAUUGGUGGUGGAGGAGGUGCAAAGCUCAUGUUGCUGAAACUGAUUUUGCAGAAGCAAAACUGACUUUGUUUUGAAAACUAAAACAAAACCACAAAGGUCCUCAAAGAUAGGAUGCUCUGAUUACCAUUUGUUGGAUAAAAUGGCAGCAACAACCAAACAAUGAAACACUAAGAGCAUAAGCUCUUCAAACAGCAAGCAGAAAAACACAAAGCAUCAAGAGCAUAAGCUCUCGGUUAACAAGCAAAAAAAAAAAAUGUUUGAUUGAAACCGAAUGAUAAUACCAUUUUCAUUUCAUUUCAAAAUAUAGAGUUACAAAAGUGGAAUGUUUACCUAACAAUUUCCACUAAAUUUGACAACUUGCCAAUUAAUAAUUAAAAAGAUGAAAGCAUUAUAGCUAUCAUUAUGAAAGCACCAAGUUGCAUAUCAACUUGUUUCAAUUAUAGCUAUCAUUACAAAUAUUAAAAAUAAACAAAAUAAACAAAAUAAACAAAAUGCACCAAGUUGCUCCUUUGUUGCUUUACAGUCCAUGUUCAACAAAACAUGAAUCAUAAGAAAGAAUAGCUGGAGUUUGUUCUUAUUAUUUUCUGUGGUUUAAUACGGUGAUAUUAUUAUUUUGUUGCAUGGUAGUGACUAGUGAGUUUGAACUUGUUAUUUGUGGUAGUUUGUGUUUGGUUGCUGAGAAAAUUGAAGGAAAAAGAAGAGGAGAGUUUAUAAAUUUUAUGUGCUGCUUUCCAACAUUUGAUGUGAUCCUUGUUUUUGUUACUCAUUCUCUUUCAGUAUUAUUUUCUGUUUAAUUCUCACAGCUACCAGAAAAUUAAAAAAACAAAGUUACAUAAAACAACAUAACACAUUUCCCUUUUAAAUGCUAGUACAGAUAUAACAACCAAAUGGAGCCUUAGAUUUUGAUAAUGUUGAAUAAAUAAGGGAAAUAAAAAGUGAACUAGGUGCGAAAAUGUAUUAGGUUCUUUUAGGAUGAAUUUGGGUAGUAUUCGUGCCUAAUCUUAUGCAUAAUUUGAGAAAAUGAAAGAUCAUGCAGCAUGCUAUUUUAUUUGGAUUAAAGUGCCACUGUGUGAGUGUUCAAGCCGGGUAAGUUUACUUUUUCUUUUUCUAAGUUUUCCAUGCAUUUGGAGAUACUUGGAGUACGCAUGUCCGAAUAUGUCCCGGACAUUGGUACUCUAAUAAAAGGAGUCAGUCCAACAUAUUUGAGUUGAAGUGUGAACUUUUCCGUUAUUUAUUAUUCUGAGAAAAAUUUAGACAACUGAUCUAUUGCUAUGUUUGGCUAUCUUAAAUGCCAGCUGCAUUGCUUAGGAAUUCUUUUGAACUGCCAAAUAAAUGAUCCUUGUAUGCACAUCAGAGAGAAAGAAGCUCUAGUAUCCAAUUUGGUAGCUGGUCUUCAAUUGCCAAGGUAACAAAUAAAAGUUACUGGAUACAGAUCGUUUGUAUUAAUUGUGGCUGUUAAUUAGUUGUUUCCUACUGCAGCGAUGAAAUCCGAGGAAAGAUUCUUUUUGUUCUGUAUAAACUAUCUAUUCAAGGAUAUGCAUCUAGAGAUGGUUUAGGAGCAAAUGUUCUUCAGGCCUUUUGUCCUAGUCUGUUGCGUUUGUCAAUGGAGGCACUUCUGAAAACCCAAAGAGAUGAUGUACGAUUGAAUGGAGUAGGUUUGUCAAAUUGCUUUCUACAUUGAUUUAUUUAAAAUUUUGUGUCAAGAUAUAUUGAAGCAUUUUUCUUGAAGCAUAGCCUACGGAAACUACUAAGUUCUGUUACAUUCCAUGUUGGGAAAGUCUUAUGCAACUAGUUGACAUCAUUUAAAAGUGAAUGCCUCCAGUUUGCUUUAACUCACUGCUCUGCAUAACAUAAUGUUUAUUAGGGUCUUUAUUAUGAAUGUACUCACCUCGCACAUCAAGGCCACCUUCACAUGUGCAGCUGUGUUUCAUCAUGAUCAUCAUAAUAUAUCCUCUUAAACUAAUAAAUUCUAAUCUUGCAUUUGUAGCAUUUCUAAUGCUCUUGGCACAAAUUGGAUUGUUUGGAAAUGGACAUGGAAAUGAUAUAAACAGCUUGAGUUCUGAUGAAGCAGACCACUUAAUGCAAACGAUAGAAGAUGGACUAGAUGAAUCCCCAUUAAGCGUAUUGUUUGCUGAGGCCAUCAAAGGCCCACUUCUUUCAUCUGACAGCCAAGUGCAAAUCAGCACAUUGGAUCUGAUUUUCCACUACUUGACGUGUGGAGAUGCUUUCUCCAAACAGAUUCAGAUUUUGAUAGAAGAAAAUAUUGUGGAUUAUGUGUUUGAGAUAUUAAGAUUGUCAGGUAAGUGAAGCUAAAUCUCGACAGUUAAAUGGCAUGCAAGUCUCCUCAGUGAGUCAAAUAACCCAAAAUACUGCUUUCAAUAGCGCUCCAAAGAAAAUAAGAUUGUAGUUUAGUUUUUGAAGUUUUGUUGCAUUCUGUUUUAAUCAAAAUCAGUAUUCUACUUAACUAGUUCUAUUCAGGCAAAUUAGUCACGAAAGCAGUGUAUCAUUUUCGAGUUCUAUCAUUAUUUGUUGACCCCGUUCAUGUGUGCUCGACAUAGAAUUAUACAGGUGUAUAUUAUGCGAGCAUGGUGCCUAUGUUUGUACACGGACAUUACAUGUAUGCGUGCAUAUGUAUGUCCAUUUGUGAUAAUUAUAUCAUGCCACGAGGCUUUUGCAUUAAUGAAAUUCUACUCUUGUUAAACAGAAUGCAAGGAUCCCCUUGUCUACUCUUGUGUUAGGGUUCUUAAUCUCUUUCCCUGUACUGAGCAGUCUUUCAGACAAAGGCUUAUUAUUGGUUUCCAAACUCUGAUUCCGGUGCUUCGUUAUGUGGCUGAAGUUCCUUUCCAUCCUGCUCAAACAUUCACACUUAUGCUUAUACAAAACUGUGUUUCUGAUUGCCCUGGAAUAGCAUCAACCUCUAAUAUUGAAGAAUUAGCUCUUAUUUUGUCAAGGAUGCUUGAAAGGCAUAGAGAUGGGGAAAUUGGCAUGAUUCCAGAGACUUUCCUAUUGGUUUGUUCAAUCUUUGUAGCUCUUUUAAAAUUCCCUUCUUCUCAAGGGGCUUCAAAUCUUGCAGCAUUUCUUCAAGAAUCAUUGAAACAUGCUGUUUUAGCUUGUCUGACUAUCUCUGAGAAAGAUCCAGGUCAACUCUUACAGUGUUUAUACCUUCUUAAAGAAGCAUAUUCAUACAGUUACGAAGCGUGCUGUGCAAACACAUCUAGCAACUUGGAACUGCGAACUUGUAUUGUGGACAUAUGUACCUCACAUAUAUUACCUUGGUUUUCCAUGGCUGUUAACGAACUUGAUGAGGAAACUGUCAUGGGGGUAUUCGAAACAUUCCAUUUUAUACUGAUUCAGAAUCCUGAUGUCCAAGCAACAGAACUAGCAAAAGUCCUACUUUCAUCCUCUUGGUUCUGUUUUUCAUUUGGAUGUCUCGGACUAUUUCCUGCUGAAAAGAUGAAAUGGAGAGUAUAUCUAAUGCUCAGUUCACUUGUGGAAGUUCUUUUGGGAAAUCAAGCUGGACAACCAAUUAGAGAUGCUGUUUUUUCUCUUCCAUCUGAUCCUAUUGAUUUGCUGUUUCUGCUUGGGCAGAAGAACUCCCAUGAUUUAGAUUUGUCUUCUUGCCAAGCUGCAGUUUUGUUGCUUUUGCAUUUCAGUUGCCUGCAUGAUGACUGGUAAAUGAGCUGCCAGGUUCUUUCAUCUUAUUUGUUGCAGGCCCAUUUGCCCGGGCCCAAGAAAGAAACAAAAGAACCCAUACCAGCAGACCCACCAACUCCGCCGUUCACUUGCUGGCCGCCGCACGUCCCAUCGCUGCUCACCUGCUCCACCUGCAAAACAAAGAAACACGCAACAGCCAAGACAAAAUAAUAAAAAAAAAAAAAUGCAAAUGAAAAAUGGAAAGGGAGAAUCGGCUAUAUAAGCCGAAUAUGAACUGUAACAAAGGGGUUUUUUUUUCUGAAUCUUUUUUUCCUUUUCGACCUUUGUAACGUAUAUUAGCAGAGAAGUAUAGCAACAAAAUUUUUGAAGGUGAAUCCUUUUAUUUUUCUUUCUUUUCUUUUCGUUUUUUAUUUCGAUUUUCAUCUUCUUCUUUUUUUGUUUUACAUACAUAAAUAAAAAUAAAAGGAAACUAAAAAGAAAAAGAGGAGGAAAACCUUACCUGCGCCGCACCGGAGGAGAGAAGACGAGCGGCUUCCCCUCGAUCUUCGGGUCUCCGGCUUCAUUUCCGGGGAUUUGGCCUUAGAUCCGUACCCUAGGGACACUAGACUUAAAAAGGGGACCGAAAAGGUCCGAUUUUNNNNNNNNNNNNNNNNNNNNNNNNNNNNNNNNNNNNNNNNNNNNNNNNNNNNNNNNNNNNNNNNNNNNNNNNNNNNNNNNNNNNNNNNNNNNNNNNNNNNNNNNNNNNNNNNNNNNNNNNNNNNNNNNNNNNNNNNNNNNNNNNNNNNNNNNNNNNNNNNNNNNNNNNNNNNNNNNNNNNNNNNNNNNNNNNNNNNNNNNNNNNNNNNNNNNNNNNNNNNNNNNNNNNNNNNNNNNNNNNNNNNNNNNNNNNNNNNNNNNNNNNNNNNNNNNNNNNNNNNNNNNNNNNNNNNNNNNNNNNNNNNNNNNNNNNNNNNNNNNNNNNNNNNNNNNNNNNNNNNNNNNNNNNNNNNNNNNNNNNNNNNNNNNNNNNNNNNNNNNNNNNNNNNNNNNNNNNNNNNNNNNNNNNNNNNNNNNNNNNNNNNNNNNNNNNNNNNNNNNNNNNNNNNNNNNNNNNNNNNNNNNNNNNNNNNNNNNNNNNNNNNNNNNNNNNNNNNNNNNUCCCAUGAACUCCUCUUUCAGCUUGUCCCAAGCUUGUUUGGGUGAGUCACAGGCCAUUAUGCGAGUAAAAAUUACAUCAGACACUCCAUUCUGUAGGCAGGCCAUGGCUUUAUGCUUCUUGGCUCGCUCCUCACCAUGUUGCUUGAUCUGAGCAAUGGUUGGAUUUGCUCUCAAUGGUAGUGGCUCGACAUCAUUUUCAACUGCACUCCACAGAUCAAGUGCUUGGAGGUAAGUUUUCAUUUUAACUAUCCAAAUGUGGUAGUUUUCUCCAGCAAAAAUUGGUGGUGGAGGAGGUGCAAAGCUCAUGUUGCUGAAACUGAUUUUGCAGAAGCAAAACUGACUUUGUUUUGAAAACUAAAACAAAACCACAAAGGUCCUCAAAGAUAGGAUGCUCUGAUUACCAUUUGUUGGAUAAAAUGGCAGCAACAACCAAACAAUGAAACACUAAGAGCAUAAGCUCUUCAAACAGCAAGCAGAAAAACACAAAGCAUCAAGAGCAUAAGCUCUCGGUUAACAAGCAAAAAAAAAAAAUGUUUGAUUGAAACCGAAUGAUAAUACCAUUUUCAUUUCAUUUCAAAAUAUAGAGUUACAAAAGUGGAAUGUUUACCUAACAAUUUCCACUAAAUUUGACAACUUGCCAAUUAAUAAUUAAAAAGAUGAAAGCAUUAUAGCUAUCAUUAUGAAAGCACCAAGUUGCAUAUCAACUUGUUUCAAUUAUAGCUAUCAUUACAAAUAUUAAAAAUAAACAAAAUAAACAAAAUAAACAAAAUGCACCAAGUUGCUCCUUUGUUGCUUUACAGUCCAUGUUCAACAAAACAUGAAUCAUAAGAAAGAAUAGCUGGAGUUUGUUCUUAUUAUUUUCUGUGGUUUAAUACGGUGAUAUUAUUAUUUUGUUGCAUGGUAGUGACUAGUGAGUUUGAACUUGUUAUUUGUGGUAGUUUGUGUUUGGUUGCUGAGAAAAUUGAAGGAAAAAGAAGAGGAGAGUUUAUAAAUUUUAUGUGCUGCUUUCCAACAUUUGAUGUGAUCCUUGUUUUUGUUACUCAUUCUCUUUCAGUAUUAUUUUCUGUUUAAUUCUCACAGCUACCAGAAAAUUAAAAAAACAAAGUUACAUAAAACAACAUAACACAUUUCCCUUUUAAAUGCUAGUACAGAUAUAACAACCAAAUGGAGCCUUAGAUUUUGAUAAUGUUGAAUAAAUAAGGGAAAUAAAAAGUGAACUAGGUGCGAAAAUGUAUUAGGUUCUUUUAGGAUGAAUUUGGGUAGUAUUCGUGCCUAAUCUUAUGCAUAAUUUGAGAAAAUGAAAGAUCAUGCAGCAUGCUAUUUUAUUUGGAUUAAAGUGCCACUGUGUGAGUGUUCAAGCCGGGUAAGUUUACUUUUUCUUUUUCUAAGUUUUCCAUGCAUUUGGAGAUACUUGGAGUACGCAUGUCCGAAUAUGUCCCGGACAUUGGUACUCUAAUAAAAGGAGUCAGUCCAACAUAUUUGAGUUGAAGUGUGAACUUUUCCGUUAUUUAUUAUUCUGAGAAAAAUUUAGACAACUGAUCUAUUGCUAUGUUUGGCUAUCUUAAAUGCCAGCUGCAUUGCUUAGGAAUUCUUUUGAACUGCCAAAUAAAUGAUCCUUGUAUGCACAUCAGAGAGAAAGAAGCUCUAGUAUCCAAUUUGGUAGCUGGUCUUCAAUUGCCAAGGUAACAAAUAAAAGUUACUGGAUACAGAUCGUUUGUAUUAAUUGUGGCUGUUAAUUAGUUGUUUCCUACUGCAGCGAUGAAAUCCGAGGAAAGAUUCUUUUUGUUCUGUAUAAACUAUCUAUUCAAGGAUAUGCAUCUAGAGAUGGUUUAGGAGCAAAUGUUCUUCAGGCCUUUUGUCCUAGUCUGUUGCGUUUGUCAAUGGAGGCACUUCUGAAAACCCAAAGAGAUGAUGUACGAUUGAAUGGAGUAGGUUUGUCAAAUUGCUUUCUACAUUGAUUUAUUUAAAAUUUUGUGUCAAGAUAUAUUGAAGCAUUUUUCUUGAAGCAUAGCCUACGGAAACUACUAAGUUCUGUUACAUUCCAUGUUGGGAAAGUCUUAUGCAACUAGUUGACAUCAUUUAAAAGUGAAUGCCUCCAGUUUGCUUUAACUCACUGCUCUGCAUAACAUAAUGUUUAUUAGGGUCUUUAUUAUGAAUGUACUCACCUCGCACAUCAAGGCCACCUUCACAUGUGCAGCUGUGUUUCAUCAUGAUCAUCAUAAUAUAUCCUCUUAAACUAAUAAAUUCUAAUCUUGCAUUUGUAGCAUUUCUAAUGCUCUUGGCACAAAUUGGAUUGUUUGGAAAUGGACAUGGAAAUGAUAUAAACAGCUUGAGUUCUGAUGAAGCAGACCACUUAAUGCAAACGAUAGAAGAUGGACUAGAUGAAUCCCCAUUAAGCGUAUUGUUUGCUGAGGCCAUCAAAGGCCCACUUCUUUCAUCUGACAGCCAAGUGCAAAUCAGCACAUUGGAUCUGAUUUUCCACUACUUGACGUGUGGAGAUGCUUUCUCCAAACAGAUUCAGAUUUUGAUAGAAGAAAAUAUUGUGGAUUAUGUGUUUGAGAUAUUAAGAUUGUCAGGUAAGUGAAGCUAAAUCUCGACAGUUAAAUGGCAUGCAAGUCUCCUCAGUGAGUCAAAUAACCCAAAAUACUGCUUUCAAUAGCGCUCCAAAGAAAAUAAGAUUGUAGUUUAGUUUUUGAAGUUUUGUUGCAUUCUGUUUUAAUCAAAAUCAGUAUUCUACUUAACUAGUUCUAUUCAGGCAAAUUAGUCACGAAAGCAGUGUAUCAUUUUCGAGUUCUAUCAUUAUUUGUUGACCCCGUUCAUGUGUGCUCGACAUAGAAUUAUACAGGUGUAUAUUAUGCGAGCAUGGUGCCUAUGUUUGUACACGGACAUUACAUGUAUGCGUGCAUAUGUAUGUCCAUUUGUGAUAAUUAUAUCAUGCCACGAGGCUUUUGCAUUAAUGAAAUUCUACUCUUGUUAAACAGAAUGCAAGGAUCCCCUUGUCUACUCUUGUGUUAGGGUUCUUAAUCUCUUUCCCUGUACUGAGCAGUCUUUCAGACAAAGGCUUAUUAUUGGUUUCCAAACUCUGAUUCCGGUGCUUCGUUAUGUGGCUGAAGUUCCUUUCCAUCCUGCUCAAACAUUCACACUUAUGCUUAUACAAAACUGUGUUUCUGAUUGCCCUGGAAUAGCAUCAACCUCUAAUAUUGAAGAAUUAGCUCUUAUUUUGUCAAGGAUGCUUGAAAGGCAUAGAGAUGGGGAAAUUGGCAUGAUUCCAGAGACUUUCCUAUUGGUUUGUUCAAUCUUUGUAGCUCUUUUAAAAUUCCCUUCUUCUCAAGGGGCUUCAAAUCUUGCAGCAUUUCUUCAAGAAUCAUUGAAACAUGCUGUUUUAGCUUGUCUGACUAUCUCUGAGAAAGAUCCAGGUCAACUCUUACAGUGUUUAUACCUUCUUAAAGAAGCAUAUUCAUACAGUUACGAAGCGUGCUGUGCAAACACAUCUAGCAACUUGGAACUGCGAACUUGUAUUGUGGACAUAUGUACCUCACAUAUAUUACCUUGGUUUUCCAUGGCUGUUAACGAACUUGAUGAGGAAACUGUCAUGGGGGUAUUCGAAACAUUCCAUUUUAUACUGAUUCAGAAUCCUGAUGUCCAAGCAACAGAACUAGCAAAAGUCCUACUUUCAUCCUCUUGGUUCUGUUUUUCAUUUGGAUGUCUCGGACUAUUUCCUGCUGAAAAGAUGAAAUGGAGAGUAUAUCUAAUGCUCAGUUCACUUGUGGAAGUUCUUUUGGGAAAUCAAGCUGGACAACCAAUUAGAGAUGCUGUUUUUUCUCUUCCAUCUGAUCCUAUUGAUUUGCUGUUUCUGCUUGGGCAGAAGAACUCCCAUGAUUUAGAUUUGUCUUCUUGCCAAGCUGCAGUUUUGUUGCUUUUGCAUUUCAGUUGCCUGCAUGAUGACUGGUAAAUGAGCUGCCAGGUUCUUUCAUCUUAUUUGUUGCAGGCCCAUUUGCCCGGGCCCAAGAAAGAAACAAAAGAACCCAUACCAGCAGACCCACCAACUCCGCCGUUCACUUGCUGGCCGCCGCACGUCCCAUCGCUGCUCACCUGCUCCACCUGCAAAACAAAGAAACACGCAACAGCCAAGACAAAAUAAUAAAAAAAAAAAAAUGCAAAUGAAAAAUGGAAAGGGAGAAUCGGCUAUAUAAGCCGAAUAUGAACUGUAACAAAGGGGUUUUUUUUUCUGAAUCUUUUUUUCCUUUUCGACCUUUGUAACGUAUAUUAGCAGAGAAGUAUAGCAACAAAAUUUUUGAAGGUGAAUCCUUUUAUUUUUCUUUCUUUUCUUUUCGUUUUUUAUUUCGAUUUUCAUCUUCUUCUUUUUUUGUUUUACAUACAUAAAUAAAAAUAAAAGGAAACUAAAAAGAAAAAGAGGAGGAAAACCUUACCUGCGCCGCACCGGAGGAGAGAAGACGAGCGGCUUCCCCUCGAUCUUCGGGUCUCCGGCUUCAUUUCCGGGGAUUUGGCCUUAGAUCCGUACCCUAGGGACACUAGACUUAAAAAGGGGACCGAAAAGGUCCGAUUUUGGACCUCCGGCCGCCACACACGGUGGCUCUACGGCGGAGACUCGCCGGAAGCCUUGGCCGGGCCAUCUCCGGAGUCGGAGCCUGAGAAAAUGAAAAAAAGAGAGAGUUUUCUCUCUGUUCUUCAACAAAAUGAUGAAACCGUUUUAUUUUUAGCCUUUUUUUUAUAUUUAUAUUAAUUAUAAAACGGCGCCGUUUUGGUGGGGGUGGAUCCGCGUGUCGACCCGACCCAUUACCAGAGGAUCCGCGUGUUUUCCAUUUUGGGGAUAUUUGCGCAGAUGGUCCUCCCCUUUUUGUAGCGCGUUCAAAUCAUUUUUUUAUAUUUCUAAUUUUCGCCCUUUAAUUUGAUGUCCGCUUCAUUUCGGUCCUCGUCAUAACGCUGCGUUUUGGAGGGUGGGAAAUAUUACCCUUUUAGUCCCCCAUGUCAUUCGCGCUUUUUAAUUCGGACCUUCCCUUUUAUUUAUUUUAGAUUUUUUUCCUUUAAUUUCAGCUUUGGUGUCAAUUUGAUCCUCUGUUUCAUUAUUGUUACUAAUUUUGUUUAGUUUAUUAUCUCUACUAUUGUUAACAUUAGUUUUAUUAUUUAUAGGUUUAUUUAUCUAUGUACACGUAUUAUAAUUUUAUUAUUUAUAUUAUUACUUUGAGUAUUAUUAUAUCAAUGGUUAAUUUCAUCACAUAUUUUUAAUGUAGUAUUAUUUUAUAUAAUAAAUAAAAUAGUAUUAACACUUUGGGUUUAUUAUACAUUCGUUUCAAAAAUUAUUAUGUAUUAUUGUUUAAUCUUCAUUAUGUAUACGUGCACAUAUAUAUAUAUAUUAUUAUUUAAUGUGUUGUGACUUAUUCCUUAUAUAAUAUUUACUUUAAAACCUAUUUGGACACUAUUAUUCUAUGUAGUAUUUAUUUUUAACCAUAUUUUUAAUUCCUUUCAAAUAUUCAUUUAUAUAUUAUUUAUCUAAAAUAUAAAUAUAAUUUCAUUUUUAUAUAUUUUUUUAGUUAUUUCAAAACUCAUACAUUUGGUCCGUAUUUGCCUUAAUUGACUCGUUUUCUUUUAGUUUUUAAAUGUAGAUAUGGAUUUUAGCAUAAUGUACAAUAGAGAUUAUUGUUGCUAUGUUUGUUAGUAUUAAUUCAUUAUUUGUUCAUUAUUCUUUGAUAUGCAUUUGAACUAUAUAUUAUCUUUUACGUCAUAUAUCACUUUUCAAUCAUGUCAUAUUUGUAAAAAUCGUGUCUUAUCAAAGCACUACAAUCACCCUAUUUCAUAAAUUUUCAAAAAAAAGCCUCGUUCUCAUAGUUCUCGAGAAUUGUGCCCUCACUUACUGGGCUUCAAAUUUUUCGAUGAACUUGGAUAACCGAGUAUCCUUUUUUAAUCAAAACCCAUAAGUAAAAAGCUCAUUCUCGGGAAUUCGACACGUUGUAUCCUAACGCAUUGGAUAUGACAUGUUAUUUUCUCGAGACGAGGAUUUUAAAAAUAAAGGCAAUGCUCGAUAUUUAGAAAUUUUGUGAAAUCGAACCCUAACUUACUGGGUUUUGAUUUUCUCAUUUGACUCAGAUAAUCGGAUAUCCUCCUUAAAAUGCAUAGGUUUUAAAAGACGAAGAAUAAGCUUAAUUUUGAGGAUUUGAAAUGUUGCACUCUAACUUACUCAGUGUAACAAUUUAUUUCUUUAAAAUAAAUGAGCUUUAUCUUCCUAUUCAUUUUAUUCAAAAAGAAAGGAUCGUAUUUAAAAUUUCGACAUUAAGACAUUAAGUAAUCAACUAAGGUACCAAUUUUGGGCGUAUCGAGGGUGCUAAUCCUUCCUCGUGCGUAACCGACUCCCGAACCCGUUUUCUGAAUUUCGCGGACCAAACUUGUUGUUUUAAUAAAAUCAAACCGUUUAUUAAAAACGACCGCUUUUCGAGGUGAUCCAAUCACACCUUAAUAAAAGAUUGGUGGCGACUCCCGUUUUCAUUUUCAAAAUCCAAGUCGACCCCGUUUUCAUCAAAAAAAGGGCGUCAACAGCUUGGCGACUCCGCUGGGGACGAUAAGAGAGUCAAGCCACGUGUUGAUUAUUUCUUGUCUUUUUGUCGAAAGUUGAAAAUUCGAUUGAAAUUUACGAUCCUCUCACUGCAUCUCUUUUGUUUUGAGUUAUAUUUUGGUCGUGUUCUGUAUUUUAUUUUAUACCUCUGCGCAUUGCAUUGCAUGACCGUUGGUCACACCUUUUUAAGUGAGAGUGAGAAGCUACGCCUUCGUGAGGUUUUCACCUCCGCAUGGGAUAGUGAAUCGCUUUCGGGAUAUAUCCGUACCUAUGUCUUCGUGAGAUUUUCAUCUCCGCAUGGCCAUAGGGAAAUGUAUCCCCCUGAAUCGAACUUGGUCCGUAUGAGCCUAUAAUGGGUGAGGAUCGAGGAAUUUGCUGGUUCAGGUACCCUACUUUAGAACCAAACCACAUGUAAUGAGCCAUAGGAACCGACCUAGGUAGAGUUACUCUAAAUUUUUAGUGCUUACCUAAAUGAAUGUUGUAUUUAUUUAUCGUUUAUUUUAAAUCUUAUUCUGUGUUUAAUGCUAAUUUACUUUGUUUGUGAUUGCAUGGCAUCUUCAUUCUAAAAGAGGUGUUGAUUUACGUUCAGUUUCUUGGUAGAAAGCUUAUCAUGGAAAAGGGGUUUGUUGAUAAAGUAGAGGAUAAUGCGGCUGUGCGAAUAUGGGCUGAAACGAUGCAACGGGAGAAAGGCGAUAGUCUUACCGAAGGGUACGUGUCAGAAUUGUGGGAUUUUACCCGUAUCAGUGUAAUCCAGAAUGACCUUCGAGAAAUGAAAGAAGUCUGGGAUCAAUGGGAUGUCGAGGCCAAGGAGCUGUUCUAUUGUAACUAUGGUGACCUACCUUAUCUGCUCAGUGUCAAAGUGGACAAGUAUUUAUUCCGAGCCCUUGCUCAGUUUUGGAAUCCUGCCUACAGUUGUUUCACUUUUGGGAAGGUAGAUUUGACGCCUACUGUGGAGGAGUAUACGACCUUGCUUCGGUGCCCAAAGAUUCAAGUCGACAAGGCUUAUUCCAGAGCUGCUUGUGUCCCUCCGUUGUUAAAGAAAUUAAUGAACAUCACUGGGAUGAGCGAGCAAUGGGUCGCUGCCCGGAUCCAACAGAAGGGCGACAAUAAAUGUGUUCCUUGGAAAAGUUUACGAGAUUUGGUGCUUGUACAUCCUGACUUAAAGAAAAGGGUCGAUGUCUUCGCUUUAGGUAUCUAUGGACUAGUGGUUUUCCCCAAAGCUUUAGGACACAUAGACGAGGCUGUAUCUGAUUUGUUCGAUCGGCUUGGUAAAGGGGUUACACCGGUUCCGGCAAUACUCGCAGAAACUUUUAGAUCCUUGAAUGCGUGUCGAAAAGCAGGGGAGGGAAGGUUUAUCGGAUGCGCGCAGCUCUUAUUGGCAUGGUUCCAUAGCCACUUCUGGAAAGUCGAAAAGGUCUCUUACCGGGUAUUCUCCGAUAGCUACUCCCCUCUAGGAGAAUUGGCGGCCACGCCAAGACGGGAUGAUAUUUUAGAAGAAAAAUGGAUAGAGAUACUCCAGAAUCUCCAAGAUGAAGAUAUUGAAUGGAGGGCUCCUUGGUUAAUUCCUGAUGAGAUAUUGUACCGAUGUGGAGAUUUUGACUGGGUUCCGCUGCUCGGGAUAUGGGGAGCUAUUGGAUAUGCUCCUCUACUCGUGUCAAGACAGUAUAGAUCACGACAAUUCAUACCAGCAACCCAGGGGUUGGCUUAUAGUGAUUUUUCCUAUAGGGAGGACAAUUACAAGAAGAAGGUUCGAGAAAUAUCUAGUGCCUGGAACCAGACUCGUCGAAUGAAGAUCUUAGCUGUGGGUCCGACAAUUACCCCCGGGUAUGGUCAGUGGCGUAAUCAAAGGAUCAACGACAACAUCCCGGCGUCAAAUUCAGAAACGGCUCGAUCUUUAGAGGAACACUUACAAGUCUUGCCUUCUGAGAUAGAAAUCAUCAAACAAGAAUUCGAAAAAAGAAGUUUAGAAUUGGGGAAGAAGAUAGAACAACUUGAGGAAGAAAAAAUGCAGUUAGGACUGGAUGUGGACAUUCAAAGAUUAGAGGCCAACAAAUUGAGGAAAGGAAAGAACAAGGCAGAAGAAGAUUUGGACAGCCUGAAGACAGAUUACAAGAAGUUGCGUAAGUCAGUAAGAGCCGCUGGCUUGGGUAAAACACCAGAACAAUGGCGACAAGAAAUUCAGGAGGAAAAGACGAAAGCUAAUCAAUGGGAAAAGAAAUUUCAGGAUGCUCGGGCUCGAGAAGCCGCCUUGGGAAAGAGUCUACUAGUUUGCCAAGACGAGAAGACGGAGUUGAAGGUCCGGAUAACAGAACUGGAAAGAUCGCUUCGCCAGUACUGUAAUCGUAAUACUACGGUUGAAUUAAGGGCGAGCUUAGACAAAAUUGAAGAAUUAAAAACACAGAUAGGAGGGCUAGAGAAUGCAUUGCAAAAUAGUGAAAUCCGGAUAGAGCUUCUAGAAGAAAGUAAUGAGCAGUGGCAAGGACAAUUCCGUCGGUCUCAAGAGCAGAUUGGAGAAAGAGAUUAUAUUAUGGGAGAGGCGGUGAUUCAGGUGCGCGAAGUGGCUGAUCAUCUGCAAACUCUAGCGGUUCAGGCUGAUCUAUUAAGUUUGAAGUAUGAGUCAGAGUCGGACAGGGGCCGAGAAUUAGCUUGGCUUCUUAGAAAGGUUAAGGCUUUGAGUGUGAGGGCAAAGCCAUAUAUGUAGUCUAUUUUAUGUAAAGAAACUCUUUAUCUAGUAAAGUUUUCUAAUGAAGUUGAAUUAAAAUCAGUGCCUCUUUUUCUUUGCAUUCUCUUUCAUGCAUUGCAUCACAUCAUAUGCAUUAAUGACCAUUAAAAAAAACCUAAUCGAAUAAAAUCAUUUCAGUUAACCUGGAAAACCAACAAAGUUACGGCACCCGAGCAAAGACAAAAAUUAUGGACCAAAGGUUAGAGAAGCUAGAGCGACUUCAAAGAGAAAUGCAAGACCAGUUGCAGGCGCAAAUGAAAGAGCAAAUAGAUAAGAUUCAGCGUGACAUGGUACAAAAGAUGGAGGAGUCCCAAAAUGAUCUGGUGGCUAAGAUGACGCAAUUAUUGAAGGGAGUAGAUAAGGGUAAAGGGCCUGUGAUUGUUAGUGAAGAAGAAAACAAUGGUGAACCACUCUAUCCUCCAGGUUUCACGCCUCCACAUGUACAGACUGAGCUGCAUUCGCGGAGACCCUCUGUGUCGGUUAGACCCCAGCAGUUCCAAGGCGAUGCUUCAAUCCCAAUGAAUUUUCAACCCGGAGCGGGCUUUAAUCCCGGUGAUAGCCCGAAUAAUAUUGCGGUCCCAGAUCUUGACGAGAUGGUUGAAAAGGACAAGGCGAAGGAGGAAUUUCCAAAACAAUUUGAGGAGAAAUGGAAAUGGAUAGAAGAGAAGUUUAGGGCAAUAGAAAGCAUCGAAAGCUAUGGAACAGAUGCAAAGGAUCUGAGCUUGGUUCCGGACUUGGUGCUCCCUUACAAAUUUAAGAUGCCGGAAUUCGAGAAAUACAACGGGACUAGUUGCCCAGGAUCCCAUAUUACUAUGUUUUGUAGAAGAAUGACGGGGCAUAUUAAUAAUGAUCAAUUAUUAAUACAUUGCUUUCAGGAAAGUCUUACGGGAGCGGCGUCAAAGUGGUACAAUCAGCUGAGCCGAGCUAAAAUUGCUACUUGGAGGGAUUUAGCACAGGCUUUCUUGAGACAAUACAAUCAUGUCUCAGAAAUGAUGCCUGACAGGAUAACUCUGCAAAAUUUAGAGAAGAAAUCAAACGAAAGCUUCAGACAAUAUGCGCAGAGGUGGCGAGAGGUGGCGGUUCAGGUGCAACCACCGCUUUUGGAAAAAGAGAUGACGACGCUUUUUAUUAAUACUUUGAAAGCCCCGUUCAUCACUCACAUGUUGGGAAGCGCUUCAAGAAAUUUCUCAGAUAUAAUCAUGAAUGGUGAAAUGAUUGAGCAUGCCAUUAAAAGUGGAAAAAUAGAUGGAGGAGAAAAUAAUAGGAGGGCACCCCCGAGGAAAAGAGAAAAUGAAGUGAAUAAUGUGAAUGCUUAUGGUAGGUCAAUUACCGUGAAUCAACCAAAGAAAGUGGUUGCUAAUCAACAGGGAUCAUCAAGACAAGAGUCAGGAGCUAGGCAAACUACUGAAAAGCCCCAAUUCACGCCAAUCCCGAUGUCAUACAAGGAGUUGUAUCAGACUUUAUUCGAUGCACAUGUUGUUGCUCCUCGUUACUUGAGUCCUCUACAACCCCCGUAUCCAAAAUGGUAUGAUACGAACGCGCAAUGUGAUUAUCAUGCGGGAAUUUCUGGGCACUCGAUAGAAAAUUGUACUGCCUUCAAGAAGGUAGUAGAAGGACUUAUCAAUUUAGGUGUUGUCAAACUUGACGACUCACCUAACGCAAAGAAUCCGUUACCUAAUCACGCAGAUAAGGGGGUGAAUAUGGUUAGCGAAGGUACGGGAGAAGAAGUCAAGACUGACAUUGCUGAAGUAAAAACUCCAUUGAAAUGGGUCUGGAAAGAAAUGGCGAAAAGAGGUUUGAUUAUUUCAGAUUCUGAGAAAGGGCAUGAGAUGGGAAAUUAUUGUGAAUUUCACCAUGAAACAGGGCAUGAAAUCCAAGAAUGUGAAGGAUUCAAGGCCUUGGUUCAAAGCAUGAUGGAUAACAAGGAGAUGAGGUUUUAUGAAGAUGUGAAAGAAAUGAGGAGCAUAUGCGCGACAGAGUUGGGAACAAAGGCUCCAAAAAUAAAUCAUCCUGUGGUCAUUAUCUCCCGCCCUAAGGGUAAUGAGGUUAGGGCUCAGGUAACGCCGAAAAUUGUAAUCCAGAAACCAUCAAAUUUCUCUUAUAAAGAUAACAAAAUGGUGCCGUGGAAUUACGGGUGUAAUGUGACCAUUUUGGGAAAAGAAGCAGAAAGAAAUCAGGAAACAGUUUUUUACACGCGCAAGGGAAAAAGAUAUGACGCUCAAGCAGAGUCGUCCAGGGAAGAGAAUUGGAAGAAAGAACAGAGGAAGGGGAAGGCAGUAGAAGUUGAACCAUUGGUAAAUGAACCAAUAAAAGAGGAAGAGGCGAAGGAGUUUUUGAAGUUUUUGAAACACAGCGAAUACAGUGUUGUGGAGCAACUGCACAAACAGCCAGCCCGCAUUUCGGUAUUAGCUUUACUCUUAAACUCAGAAGUACAUCGGAAUGCACUCUUAAAGGUGCUAAACGAAACAUAUGUGGCUGACGAUAUUUCAGUAAACAAGUUGGAUCGGUUGAUCAACAAUAUUGGUGCUGACAAUUUUAUCUUCUUCAAUGAUGAUGAAAUACCAUCCGGAGGAAGAGGUUCUACUAAAGCCCUCCACGUUACUGUCCGAUGCAAAGGGUACACACUCCCGGGGGCCUUGGUCGAUAAUGGAUCUGCACUAAAUGUAUUGCCUUUGUCCACUCUUAGUCGAUUACCAAUAGACAGUUCGCACAUGAAAGCAUGCCAGAGCAUAGUAAGGGCAUUUGAUGGAACAAAAAAGGAGGUUAUGGGGAGAAUUGAAGUACCAUUAAGGAUUGGCCCAGUCACUUAUGAGGUGGAUUUCUUGGUAAUGGAUAUUAAACCCUCCUACAACUGUCUAUUGGGGAGACCGUGGAUACACUCAGCAGGGGCGGUACCUUCAUCAUUACAUCAGAAGGUGAAGUUGGUAUCGGAGGAUCGGUUGGUAACAAUAGAUGCAGAGGAGGAUAUUAUCGCAAUGAUGACUAGCGAGGCACCUUAUGUGGACAUCAACGAUGAGGCACUGGAAUGUUCUUUUCGGUCGUUAGAAUUUGUGAACGCGAUGUUUAUUGCGGAGGGAAAUAGGAUUCCAGUACCGAAAAUGUCCAGGACCACUGAGAUGGGAUUGCGAUUGAUGGUAGGAAGAGGAGCCUUACCCGGGAAAGGAUUGGGAAAAUAUCUUCAGGGGAGGAUUGAGGCACCAAUGCCGAGGGAAAAGUUUGAUAGAUUUGGUUUAGGGUACAAGCCAGACAUGAAGCAGAAGAAGAAAGAAGUAGAGAAGAGACAAGCGAGAAGAAGGGCGCGUUUGAAGGGACAUGAAGCUAAGUGUGAGCCUUUAACCUUUCCCCACAUAUCUUCAUCUUUUGUGUCGGGAGGAUUUAUUCAUUCUGAAUGUGGGGUAUCCGGUAGCGGCAUGGGAGGAAUGUUGGAAAACGUUUAUAUUAACACCAUAGAAGCAACGGAAAGGAGGGCUUUGUUGGAGAUCCGCCCUUAUGAGCCUGGAAGCGAGCUAAACAAUUGGACUGCUGAAGAAAUCCCUGUAGUCUUUAGGGCUUAUUCAGAGUAAUGCUCAAAACAUUCCUGUUGUUUGUUGGCCUAGAAACGAUACGAAAUUUUUUGUGAAAUAGGCAUUGGGCCUAAAUAUCAUUAUUUUAAUAAAAUACGUGUCUACGUUCAUCUCGAUCAGUCACUUUUUUUUCUUUCAUAUUUUUCAUUUGGUUGAUUGUCUUACAAACAAUUCUUUCAUUUGUGAUUCUUUUGCACAAACAUAUUCAUAAAUUUAUAUUCUUGGUAUAUUAUUUGAUCUGCCCACAUAGGUCUUCAGAUAUCAAUGACAUGAGUGAUGCUGCCUCAAACGCGGAGCCUAUUUUUGAGCAAGAAGUGUGUUCAGAGGGAUCCCACGACUUUGAAAAUGACGAAGAUUAUGAUGCAUCUCCGGACUUGUUAAGAAUGAUGGAACAAGAGGAUAAGCAUAUCCUACCUCAUAGGGAAUCGUUAGAAAUAGUGAGCCUAGAGGAUGGAAAGGAGGUGAAAAUUGGAACUGAAAUUACCGCAAAGACAAGGCAAGACCUCAUCAAUUUGCUCCGAGAGUUCAAGGAUGUUUUCGCGUGGUCGUACCAAGAUAUGCCUGGGCUAAAUACUAACAUUGUGGUACAUCGUCUGCCCAUAAAGGAGGAUUGUAAACCCGUUCAACAGAAGCUUAGGAGAAUGAGACCUGACAUUGUGUUGAAAAUAAGAGAAGAAGUCAAAAGACAAUUCGACGCUGGUUUCUUACAAGAGGUCAAGUAUUCGGAUUGGGUAGCCAACAUCGUCCCUGUUCCCAAAAAAGAUGGAAAGGUACGAAUGUGUGUGGACUAUAGGGAUUUAAACAAGGCUAGUCCAAAGGACAACUUUCCACUACCUCACAUUGAUACUUUGGUAGAUAACACGGCGGGCUAUUCAUUGUUUUCUUUCAUGGACGGUUUCUCUGGAUACAAUCAAAUAAAGAUGCAUCCCGGAGACAUGAGGAAAACCACAUUCAUUACCUUAUGGGGAACAUUCUGUUACAAGGUAAUGCCCUUCGGAUUGAAGAAUGCGGGAGCAACGUAUCAAAGAGCUAUGGUGACUUUGUUUCACGACAUGAUGCACAAGGAGAUUGAAGUCUAUGUUGACGAUAUGAUCGCAAAGUCUAGAACGGAGGAAGAGCAUGUUCAGGUCUUGAAAAGGUUAUUUUUGAGAUUAAAGAAAUUUCAGCUCAAGCUUAACCCGGCCAAAUGCACGUUCGGAGCCAGAUCAGGGAAGUUAUUAGGCUUCAUAGUUAGCAAAAAGGGGAUCGAGGUUGACCCAGACAAAGUAAAGGCAAUACGAGAUUUACCUCCCCCGCGCACUCAGAAGGAGGUUCGAGGUUUCCUAGGGAGGCUGAAUUACAUUGCUCGGUUCAUCUCACAACUGACAGAGAAAUGUGAUCCAGUAUUCCGGCUCUUAAAGAAACAUAAUCCGGGCAAUUGGGAUGAAGAAUGUCAGAGGGCUUUCGAUAAGAUAAAGCAGUACUUGGCUAAUACUCCAGUCUUAUCACCUCCAAGUCCAGAUAGGCCAUUGAUAUUGUAUCUAACAGUGUUGGAGAAUUCCAUGGGAUGCGUAUUGGGCCAACAUGAUGAGACGGGAAAGAAAGAAAGGGCAAUAUACUAUCUCAGUAAGAAAUUUACCGAUUGCGAGAUGAGGUACUCAUCAAUUGAGAAGUUGUGUUGUGCUCUAAUCUGGGCAACCCGAAGACUGAGGCAGUAUAUGUUGUAUCACACGACUUGGCUGAUUUCAAAGUUAGAUCCUUUAAAAUAUAUGAUGGAAUCAACUGCUUUGAACGGGAGAAUGGCUAGAUGGCAGAUCUUGCUCUCAGAAUUUGAUAUAGUAUAUGUCAGUCAGAAGGCCAUAAAGGGAAGUGCAAUAGCCGAUUUCCUAGCUAGUAGAGCCUUGGAGGACUAUGAAUCUUUGAAUUUUGAUUUUCCAAACGAGGACUUGAUGUAUGUGGCGAAUACUGAAGAAAAUCCUCAAAUGGAUCACGUAUGGAAGUUAAAUUUUGAUGGAGCUUCGAAUGCUACGGGUAAUGGAGUUGGGGCAGUUUUGGUAUCCCCGAGUGGAGAUCAUUAUCCUGUUGCCAGUAAGUUGGACUUCGAUUGUACAAAUAAUAUGGCAGAAUAUGAAGCAUGUAUUAUGGGCAUUCGUGCAGCCAUUGAACGGAACAUCAAAGUACUGAGAGUAUACGGGGAUUCAGCGUUGGUGAUAUACCAACUCAAAGGGGAGUGGGAGACUAGAGAUCCUAAGCUAAUUGGUUAUAGAAAACUAGUUCUUGAAUUGGCUGAGGAGUUUGACGAUAUCACCUUCUAUUACCUCCCACGUGAGGAAAACCAAAUGGCUGAUGCAUUAGCUACUCUAGCUUCGAUGAUUCAGGUGAAUAGACUUGAGGCAAUGAGGCCUGUUCAGAUGAGUAUCUCUGAGACCCCGGCUAAUUGUUGCAAUAUUGAGGAGGAGGGAAAAGAUGAUUGUCCUUGGUAUCGGAGUAUCUUACAAUAUGUGAAGAAUCGGGAAUACCCUGAUCAAGCGACAGAGAAUGACAAAAGAACUCUUAGAAAGAUAGCCAUUGAAUAUGUCUUAGAUGGAGAAGUGUUAUAUAAAAGAAGGAAGGAUCAAGUACUGUUAAGAUGUGUAGAUGCGGUAGAAGCCAAGAAAAUUUUGGAAGAAGUCCAUGAGGGUAUUUGUGGGACGCACGCCAGUGGUUUCACGAUGGCCAGACAGAUCAUGAGAUUUGGGUACUAUUGGCCCACCAUGGAAGGAGAUUGCAUUGAUCAUGCCAGGAAGUGCCACAAAUGCCAAAUUUACGGAGACAAAAUACACGCGCCUCCUUCACCUCUUCACAUCAUGACCUCUCCUUGGCCGUUUUCCAUGUGGGGUAUGGAUGUUAUUGGGCCAAUAUCACCAAAGGCUUCUAAUGGGCAUCGCUUCAUCUUCGUAGUAAUUGAUUACUUUACCAAGUGGGUGGAGGCUGCUUCAUAUGCAAAUGUCACAAAAGCAGUAGUCAGCAAAUUCUUGAAGAAGGAGAUCAUUUGUCGAUAUGGGAUGCCUGAGAGGAUCAUAUCCGACAACGCGAUGAACUUGAAUAAUAGCACAAUAGCUGAAGUUUGUAGCAAAUUUAAAAUUAAGCAUCAUAACUCAUCGCCGUAUCGUCCCAAAAUGAAUGGUGCAGUGGAGGCAGCCAAUAAAAACAUUAAAAGGAUUGUGGGGAAAAUGACUGAAACCUACAAGGAUUGGCAUGAGAAAUUAUCAUUUGCUCUCCUCGCCUAUCGAACAUCUGUUAGAACUUCUACUGGGGCAACGCCUUUUGCUCUGGUUUAUGGAAUGGAGGCAGUAUUACCCAUUGAAGUUGAAAUCCCUUCUCUACGGGUGUUAUCUGAGCUACAGUUGGAUGAAGCCGAUUGGAUCCAAUCUCGGUACGAUCAGUUGAACCUAAUAGAAGAAAAGAGGCUAAGAGCUAUUCACCAUGGGCAAAUGUACCAGAAACGAAUGAUGCGAGCUUAUAAUAAAAAGGUUCGCCCCCGAGAAUUUCGUGAAGGGGACUUGGUACUAAAAAAGAUUCUUCCUAUGCAAAAAGAUUUUAGAGGAAAAUGGAUGCCAAAUUGGGAAGGCCCUUAUGUUGUAAAGAAGGCCUUUUCCGGUGGAGCUUUGAUCCUAUGCGAGAUGGAUGGCAAAAGUUUACCAAAUCCUGUAAACGCAGACUCUGUUAAGAAAUACUUCACUUGAAAGAAAGGGGAACCAAAGUGAAAACCCGUAAAGGGCGCUUUGCUUCCUAAAAAAAAAAAAAAAAAAAAAAAAAAAACUUUGGAGAGGCUAAGGUGAAAACCCGUAAAGGGCACUUUGAGACCAAAGAGGGCUUGAGUCGAAAACCCGAAAAGGGCGACUCGAGUAUUGGGCAAGAUUGGAACAUCAGGACUUGAGCGGAUCAAAUUUUGAUCAGGGGCAUAUGAUGAUCUUGCUUUACCAAUAAGAAAGGAUAUGCAACGUCUUGGAACAUUGACAGAGUAUUGCAGAUCUCCUGAACACAUGUCAAACUUAGAAGGGUCUUCGGAAAGUUUGUACAGGGAAACUCAAGCGGCGAUAACUGGGGCACCUAGUUCUUAUGUGUAUUCUUGAAAAUACAUUUCUUUUAUUUUCUUUCUUUCUUCCUUUCCUUUGUGAAAACGCACAUUCUCAAUCCACUUCUUUGUUACCCUUCUUUUGCCAUCUUUGAUGUUUUAUUCGAGUUAUGAUCAGAGCUAGCUUCAUUCUUAUCUAUUGUUAUGAUCUUUUUGCAAACAUGUUGCAUAGGAAUAUUGAUUAACGAACUAAUAAAACUUUCAGGAAAGAAGUUUUGCAUAUUACUCUGAAAAGUUCUAAAUAAUAUAGAAACCUGAAACAGGACUAUUGUUUAGAAAACACCAAGUUUAAAGGGUGAAGUAUCUAAGAAGGAAGAGUCUAAGUUAAAGACUAUAUUUUUGGAUUUUGUUGUCCAAACAUUGAUUGAACAAAAUGACGAGAUGUCGUGUUGGUGACAAAGCUUCAAUGAACAAACAAGCAAUGAUCACCAAAUGAUAAGAAAAGGUUUUCUCAGAGAGGAAAAUUUUGCAAUUGUGCAUGAGCAUUUGGUAUGACACCUUGGGAAUGAGGUAAAGGACCAAAGAGCUUCACAUUCUGUAUCCUUGAAUUGCGAUAGGAGAAGAUUGAAAAAGCCAUAUCUUUCUACCCUUGGAUUAUAGUGGGAGAAUGAUGGUACAAAUUUUGUGCCCUAAUAGAUUAAACUUUAAGGUUUACAGUGGGGGGGCAACCAGAUUAAGUGUUUCUUUGGAUAUACCAGACGAGCAAAAAGGCGUUGUAGUACGUCAGUGAUAAAACCUUAAUAAGUUUUUACGUGAUGUUAACCUAAGCAUUAAGGAAUCAUCUUCAUGACAUUUUGCAUUCACUCAAAUGUCAUCCAUACAUAUCUAGUUAGGAGCAUUUGAUUCGUUCUGAUUAUGUCAUCCGAAUCACUAGGCACAAUUAGGUUCAUAAAAUAGAGCAUACAGGUCAUGUUCCCCAAGGGACAGAUCAAUGAAGACAAAGGAUCUUGCCUUUCUGCAUUGACAGCGAAGCAGAUCGAAGACACAAACCUUGCCUCUUUCGGUUGUGAUAGAGCUGGUUGAAGACAAAGGAUCUUGCCUUUCUGCAUCGACAGCGAAGCAGAUCGAAAACAAAGCCUUGCAUCCAUCGAUUGCAGUGGAGCUAGUUAAAGAAGUAGAUCUUGCCUUCCUGCAUUAACAGCGAAGCAGAUCAAAGAUAGUAAUCCUAUCUCCUUGAGAUUACAAUGGAGCGGAUUAAAGGAUCUUAUCUCUCUGAAGUUACAGUAGAGAAGAUCACAUCAGGUCUUAUCUCCCUGAGAUUACAGUGGAACAGACCGAAGAAUUGCAGAUCUUGUCUCCCUGAGGUUACAGCGGAGCAGAUCGAAGAUAUAAUCCUAUCUCCCUGAAGUUACAGUGGAGCGGAUUAAAAUAAAGGAUCUUAUCUCUCUGAAGUUACAGUAGAGUAGAUCGCAUCAGGUCUUAUCUCUCUGAGGUUACAGUGGAGUAGACCGAAGAAUUGCAGAUCUUAUCCCCCUGAAGUUACAGUGGAGCAGAUUGAAGCCAGAGAUCUUAUCUCCCCGAGAUUACAGCGGAGCAGAUCGAAGACACUAUCCUAUCUCCCUGAAGUUACAGUGGAGUGGGUUAAAAUAAAGGAUCUUAUCUCUCUGAGGUUACAGCAGAGUAGGUCGCAUCAAGUCUUAUUUCCCUGAAGAUGCAGUGGAAUAGAUUGAAAAACCACAAACCUCGUCCCCCUGAAGUUGCUACGAAGAAGAUAAAGGCUACAGGACGCAUCUCUCUAAAAUGCAGUGGAAUGGAUCGAAGCAACAAGACCUAGUGGACUGGAAUGAAACUACUUGAAAUGGAGAAGUACUAGAACAAGUCAAGACUCGGCAAGACCGGGCAAAAUGGGCCUUUCUUAGUCUUUGCUCUGUUAUCGUUACACGACAACGAGCAAAGAGGGGCAGCUGUUGCAGGCCCAUUUGCCCGGGCCCAAGAAAGAAACAAAAGAACCCAUACCAGCAGACCCACCAACUCCGCCGUUCACUUGCUGGCCGCCGCACGUCCCAUCGCUGCUCACCUGCUCCACCUGCAAAACAAAGAAACACGCAACAGCCAAGACAAAAUAAUAAAAAAAAAAAUGCAAAUGAAAAAUGGAAAGGGAGAAUCGGCUAUAUAAGCCGAAUAUGAACUGUAACAAAGGGGUUUUUUUUUCUGAAUCUUUUUUUCCUUUUCGACCUUUGUAACGUAUAUUAGCAGAGAAGUAUAGCAACAAAAUUUUUGAAGGUGAAUCCUUUUAUUUUUCUUUCUUUUCUUUUCGUUUUUUAUUUCGAUUUUCAUCUUCUUCUUUUUUUGUUUUACAUACAUAAAUAAAAAUAAAAGGAAACUAAAAAGAAAAAGAGGAGGAAAACCUUACCUGCGCCGCACCGGAGGAGAGAAGACGAGCGGCUUCCCCUCGAUCUUCGGGUCUCCGGCUUCAUUUCCGGGGAUUUGGCCUUAGAUCCGUACCCUAGGGACACUAGACUUAAAAAGGGGACCGAAAAGGUCCGAUUUUGGACCUCCGGCCGCCACACACGGUGGCUCUACGGCGGAGACUCGCCGGAAGCCUUGGCCGGGCCAUCUCCGGAGUCGGAGCCUGAGAAAAUGAAAAAAAGAGAGAGUUUUCUCUCUGUUCUUCAACAAAAUGAUGAAACCGUUUUAUUUUUAGCCUUUUUUUUAUAUUUAUAUUAAUUAUAAAACGGCGCCGUUUUGGUGGGGGUGGAUCCGCGUGUCGACCCGACCCAUUACCAGAGGAUCCGCGUGUUUUCCAUUUUGGGGAUAUUUGCGCAGAUGGUCCUCCCCUUUUUGUAGCGCGUUCAAAUCAUUUUUUUAUAUUUCUAAUUUUCGCCCUUUAAUUUGAUGUCCGCUUCAUUUCGGUCCUCGUCAUAACGCUGCGUUUUGGAGGGUGGGAAAUAUUACCCUUUUAGUCCCCCAUGUCAUUCGCGCUUUUUAAUUCGGACCUUCCCUUUUAUUUAUUUUAGAUUUUUUUCCUUUAAUUUCAGCUUUGGUGUCAAUUUGAUCCUCUGUUUCAUUAUUGUUACUAAUUUUGUUUAGUUUAUUAUCUCUACUAUUGUUAACAUUAGUUUUAUUAUUUAUAGGUUUAUUUAUCUAUGUACACGUAUUAUAAUUUUAUUAUUUAUAUUAUUACUUUGAGUAUUAUUAUAUCAAUGGUUAAUUUCAUCACAUAUUUUUAAUGUAGUAUUAUUUUAUAUAAUAAAUAAAAUAGUAUUAACACUUUGGGUUUAUUAUACAUUCGUUUCAAAAAUUAUUAUGUAUUAUUGUUUAAUCUUCAUUAUGUAUACGUGCACAUAUAUAUAUAUAUAUUAUUAUUUAAUGUGUUGUGACUUAUUCCUUAUAUAAUAUUUACUUUAAAACCUAUUUGGACACUAUUAUUCUAUGUAGUAUUUAUUUUUAACCAUAUUUUUAAUUCCUUUCAAAUAUUCAUUUAUAUAUUAUUUAUCUAAAAUAUAAAUAUAAUUUCAUUUUUAUAUAUUUUUUUAGUUAUUUCAAAACUCAUACAUUUGGUCCGUAUUUGCCUUAAUUGACUCGUUUUCUUUUAGUUUUUAAAUGUAGAUAUGGAUUUUAGCAUAAUGUACAAUAGAGAUUAUUGUUGCUAUGUUUGUUAGUAUUAAUUCAUUAUUUGUUCAUUAUUCUUUGAUAUGCAUUUGAACUAUAUAUUAUCUUUUACGUCAUAUAUCACUUUUCAAUCAUGUCAUAUUUGUAAAAAUCGUGUCUUAUCAAAGCACUACAAUCACCCUAUUUCAUAAAUUUUCAAAAAAAAGCCUCGUUCUCAUAGUUCUCGAGAAUUGUGCCCUCACUUACUGGGCUUCAAAUUUUUCGAUGAACUUGGAUAACCGAGUAUCCUUUUUUAAUCAAAACCCAUAAGUAAAAAGCUCAUUCUCGGGAAUUCGACACGUUGUAUCCUAACGCAUUGGAUAUGACAUGUUAUUUUCUCGAGACGAGGAUUUUAAAAAUAAAGGCAAUGCUCGAUAUUUAGAAAUUUUGUGAAAUCGAACCCUAACUUACUGGGUUUUGAUUUUCUCAUUUGACUCAGAUAAUCGGAUAUCCUCCUUAAAAUGCAUAGGUUUUAAAAGACGAAGAAUAAGCUUAAUUUUGAGGAUUUGAAAUGUUGCACUCUAACUUACUCAGUGUAACAAUUUAUUUCUUUAAAAUAAAUGAGCUUUAUCUUCCUAUUCAUUUUAUUCAAAAAGAAAGGAUCGUAUUUAAAAUUUCGACAUUAAGACAUUAAGUAAUCAACUAAGGUACCAAUUUUGGGCGUAUCGAGGGUGCUAAUCCUUCCUCGUGCGUAACCGACUCCCGAACCCGUUUUCUGAAUUUCGCGGACCAAACUUGUUGUUUUAAUAAAAUCAAACCGUUUAUUAAAAACGACCGCUUUUCGAGGUGAUCCAAUCACACCUUAAUAAAAGAUUGGUGGCGACUCCCGUUUUCAUUUUCAAAAUCCAAGUCGACCCCGUUUUCAUCAAAAAAAGGGCGUCAACAGUGGAGCGGAUUAAAAUAAAGGAUCUUAUCUCUCUGAAGUUACAGUAGAGUAGAUCGCAUCAGGUCUUAUCUCUCUGAGGUUACAGUGGAGUAGACCGAAGAAUUGCAGAUCUUAUCCCCCUGAAGUUACAGUGGAGCAGAUUGAAGCCAGAGAUCUUAUCUCCCCGAGAUUACAGCGGAGCAGAUCGAAGACACUAUCCUAUCUCCCUGAAGUUACAGUGGAGUGGGUUAAAAUAAAGGAUCUUAUCUCUCUGAGGUUACAGCAGAGUAGGUCGCAUCAAGUCUUAUUUCCCUGAAGAUGCAGUGGAAUAGAUUGAAAAACCACAAACCUCGUCCCCCUGAAGUUGCUACGAAGAAGAUAAAGGCUACAGGACGCAUCUCUCUAAAAUGCAGUGGAAUGGAUCGAAGCAACAAGACCUAGUGGACUGGAAUGAAACUACUUGAAAUGGAGAAGUACUAGAACAAGUCAAGACUCGGCAAGACCGGGCAAAAUGGGCCUUUCUUAGUCUUUGCUCUGUUAUCGUUACACGACAACGAGCAAAGAGGGGCAGCUGUUGCAGGCCCAUUUGCCCGGGCCCAAGAAAGAAACAAAAGAACCCAUACCAGCAGACCCACCAACUCCGCCGUUCACUUGCUGGCCGCCGCACGUCCCAUCGCUGCUCACCUGCUCCACCUGCAAAACAAAGAAACACGCAACAGCCAAGACAAAAUAAUAAAAAAAAAAAUGCAAAUGAAAAAUGGAAAGGGAGAAUCGGCUAUAUAAGCCGAAUAUGAACUGUAACAAAGGGGUUUUUUUUUCUGAAUCUUUUUUUCCUUUUCGACCUUUGUAACGUAUAUUAGCAGAGAAGUAUAGCAACAAAAUUUUUGAAGGUGAAUCCUUUUAUUUUUCUUUCUUUUCUUUUCGUUUUUUAUUUCGAUUUUCAUCUUCUUCUUUUUUUGUUUUACAUACAUAAAUAAAAAUAAAAGGAAACUAAAAAGAAAAAGAGGAGGAAAACCUUACCUGCGCCGCACCGGAGGAGAGAAGACGAGCGGCUUCCCCUCGAUCUUCGGGUCUCCGGCUUCAUUUCCGGGGAUUUGGCCUUAGAUCCGUACCCUAGGGACACUAGACUUAAAAAGGGGACCGAAAAGGUCCGAUUUUGGACCUCCGGCCGCCACACACGGUGGCUCUACGGCGGAGACUCGCCGGAAGCCUUGGCCGGGCCAUCUCCGGAGUCGGAGCCUGAGAAAAUGAAAAAAAGAGAGAGUUUUCUCUCUGUUCUUCAACAAAAUGAUGAAACCGUUUUAUUUUUAGCCUUUUUUUUAUAUUUAUAUUAAUUAUAAAACGGCGCCGUUUUGGUGGGGGUGGAUCCGCGUGUCGACCCGACCCAUUACCAGAGGAUCCGCGUGUUUUCCAUUUUGGGGAUAUUUGCGCAGAUGGUCCUCCCCUUUUUGUAGCGCGUUCAAAUCAUUUUUUUAUAUUUCUAAUUUUCGCCCUUUAAUUUGAUGUCCGCUUCAUUUCGGUCCUCGUCAUAACGCUGCGUUUUGGAGGGUGGGAAAUAUUACCCUUUUAGUCCCCCAUGUCAUUCGCGCUUUUUAAUUCGGACCUUCCCUUUUAUUUAUUUUAGAUUUUUUUCCUUUAAUUUCAGCUUUGGUGUCAAUUUGAUCCUCUGUUUCAUUAUUGUUACUAAUUUUGUUUAGUUUAUUAUCUCUACUAUUGUUAACAUUAGUUUUAUUAUUUAUAGGUUUAUUUAUCUAUGUACACGUAUUAUAAUUUUAUUAUUUAUAUUAUUACUUUGAGUAUUAUUAUAUCAAUGGUUAAUUUCAUCACAUAUUUUUAAUGUAGUAUUAUUUUAUAUAAUAAAUAAAAUAGUAUUAACACUUUGGGUUUAUUAUACAUUCGUUUCAAAAAUUAUUAUGUAUUAUUGUUUAAUCUUCAUUAUGUAUACGUGCACAUAUAUAUAUAUAUUAUUAUUUAAUGUGUUGUGACUUAUUCCUUAUAUAAUAUUUACUUUAAAACCUAUUUGGACACUAUUAUUCUAUGUAGUAUUUAUUUUUAACCAUAUUUUUAAUUCCUUUCAAAUAUUCAUUUAUAUAUUAUUUAUCUAAAAUAUAAAUAUAAUUUCAUUUUUAUAUAUUUUUUUAGUUAUUUCAAAACUCAUACAUUUGGUCCGUAUUUGCCUUAAUUGACUCGUUUUCUUUUAGUUUUUAAAUGUAGAUAUGGAUUUUAGCAUAAUGUACAAUAGAGAUUAUUGUUGCUAUGUUUGUUAGUAUUAAUUCAUUAUUUGUUCAUUAUUCUUUGAUAUGCAUUUGAACUAUAUAUUAUCUUUUACGUCAUAUAUCACUUUUCAAUCAUGUCAUAUUUGUAAAAAUCGUGUCUUAUCAAAGCACUACAAUCACCCUAUUUCAUAAAUUUUCAAAAAAAAGCCUCGUUCUCAUAGUUCUCGAGAAUUGUGCCCUCACUUACUGGGCUUCAAAUUUUUCGAUGAACUUGGAUAACCGAGUAUCCUUUUUUAAUCAAAACCCAUAAGUAAAAAGCUCAUUCUCGGGAAUUCGACACGUUGUAUCCUAACGCAUUGGAUAUGACAUGUUAUUUUCUCGAGACGAGGAUUUUAAAAAUAAAGGCAAUGCUCGAUAUUUAGAAAUUUUGUGAAAUCGAACCCUAACUUACUGGGUUUUGAUUUUCUCAUUUGACUCAGAUAAUCGGAUAUCCUCCUUAAAAUGCAUAGGUUUUAAAAGACGAAGAAUAAGCUUAAUUUUGAGGAUUUGAAAUGUUGCACUCUAACUUACUCAGUGUAACAAUUUAUUUCUUUAAAAUAAAUGAGCUUUAUCUUCCUAUUCAUUUUAUUCAAAAAGAAAGGAUCGUAUUUAAAAUUUCGACAUUAAGACAUUAAGUAAUCAACUAAGGUACCAAUUUUGGGCGUAUCGAGGGUGCUAAUCCUUCCUCGUGCGUAACCGACUCCCGAACCCGUUUUCUGAAUUUCGCGGACCAAACUUGUUGUUUUAAUAAAAUCAAACCGUUUAUUAAAAACGACCGCUUUUCGAGGUGAUCCAAUCACACCUUAAUAAAAGAUUGGUGGCGACUCCCGUUUUCAUUUUCAAAAUCCAAGUCGACCCCGUUUUCAUCAAAAAAAGGGCGUCAACAUUAUUCAUGUUGCAUUUUUAACAUUUGCUCUUCACCUUUAUUUCUUACUGUUAUUGAUACCUUCCGCAGGCUUGCAGAUGAGAGAUCGGUUUUAGCUUCUCUGGAGCAAUAUAUUCUUGUUAACAGUGGAGAUUUCCUCUCCGGGAGCAUUGAUUCCUUGACAAUGAUGCAAGUGUUGAAUCUUUACGGCCUAUGUAGAGGUCUUGCUAAGGCAAGCAAUCAAGUUUCUCACAGCCUGGAAGCUGAGAGGAUCUUGUUCCAUAUGCUGUGUCAAAGUGAAUGGGAUUUGCCUUCUGCAGUGAUUCAUCCAGUUGCAGUGACAUGGUUGUUCCAACAGGAGAAAAUCAGCAAACCAUUAUCAUGCCAACUUCUAAAAUUCUGCAGAAGAGAUUGCUCAGAUGGAAACAGAAUACUCAUCCAUAGGGACAAUAAUCAAACUAUAGAUGUAAGAGUAAUUGCAGACUUGGUAGCUAGGAGAGAUAACCAUGCUGCAAAGCUUUUGAUGUGUUUAUUGGUAGAGCUUGCUGAGGAAGGAGCCCAAAAUCAAGACAUUAUAGCAGUAGUAAAUCUUAUAUUAACAGUCAUUAACAUCUUUCCAACUGCCUCGGACCAACUAUGCUUGCAUGGAAUAGGCAAUGCAAUAUUAAUGGUAGUUUAUUACAAUUCAAGUCAUUCUUCUUCCUUAGAGUUACUUCUGGCCACCUUACUUCUGCUAUUUAACAUUCUAAGUACAGUGCACCAUGAAACACUUUCUGAUGGCGAAUCUUGGCUUGCAUUGUCUACAAAGGUACCGUGUCAGUUUUCAUUUUAAUGUGUACUCACGGUUUCAGCAAAUUAAUGAGUCUUUUACUUUCUUUGUAGUUGAUAGACUGCUUAAUUCCUGCAGUUAGAAAGUAUGGCUGGAAUCAUGAAGGUCUACUUUUAGUGGGAAUUCUCUCCUUGAUUUUGCAUAAUUCUUCUAGCCAUGCACUCAUUGAGGCUUCGAAAAGUAUAAUUUUCAAUGCUUCCUUGAUCUCUACCAUCAACAGCACGGUCCAGGUUGUCUCUUCAAAGGGACCUGCUCUAAUAGAGCAUGAUGAGGGAACAAGCUCUGGCGAAAACCUAAUAUUUUUACUUUUGUUAUACUACUUCACCUUAAGAUGGUAAGCACCUUCUUAUAACACUCUUCUAUAAAUCCAUGCUGUGUAAACUAACUUCUUUAUUUUCAGCUUCCAUGCCGUUUUACCAGAGGUUCCAGACUGGGAAACUUUCCUCAAGUCGCCAGAUAUGGCACAACCAGUUUCCAUAAUCAAUAUUCACUUCCAUGAUUUGUGCAGGAUGAUACAUUUUGGGUCUCCAAUGGUCAAGCUUGUUGCUUCAUCUUGCCUGUUGGAGUUUCUUUCAGGAAUAUCAUAUCAGAAAAAAGGGAAACAUGUGGAGUCACAGUGCUUCAUGGGUUACAUAAUGUCCAUAAUGACUGUAUUAGAAGGUCAGGUAUUUAACGAUAACAUUCGGGUAGCAAUGAACUGUUGCCUUUGCUUAUCAAUAAUUUUAGGGUGGGAAAAAGAACUAGAAAUGCAGGAAUCAAGAGUUGUGAGAAGUAGCUGGUAUAGACUAAUUGUGGAGGAAAUGGCUAUGUCUUUGGCAGUUCCAUGCUUAGCAUCAAAAUCAUUCAUCAAUUACCACAAACCUGCUGUUCAUCUUACUGUCGCAUUGCUAAAACUCGAGAAGAUUCCCGAGUGGAUCCGAACCGUGUUCGAUGACGUUUCCAUAUCUUGUAUAAUCGAAAACCUUAAAGUCAUGGAUGUUACCCCUGAGAUGGUGCUUUUAUUUCGAGCUCUACUAAACUCUGGAUUCUUGAAGGCAGAGCAUAUAGCCAGUCUUAAUCAUGUAUUCCAGGUAACAUUAAUUGUUUCUUUUGCCUAUCACGAAGAAACAAAAUAUGUUGAUUGAUAUUUUAUCCAGACUCAAGGGUGAAUGUCGAAUAUAUGACCGUAACCGGUCCCUAUAUCUAUGUUAUUUUUCGUAUUGUAGGCAUGCAGAAAACGCAUGUACAACAACAGUAAAGAACAUACGACAGAUAAGAAUGAUCAGAAGAGUGUGACGUGGUCAGAUGAGGUGGGAGAAAUUUGUGAGUAUCUCAUUCACUUGAUGGUAUCUUCUUCAGACACAAAUUCUGGGAACAAAAGAUUGUUUCAAGAAAUAGAAAUGUUUUUCCGCAGUUUAACAGAAGGUAGUACAGCUCAACUAUAACCUAGUUAAAAAUAUUCUUUUAAUUUUUUUUUUCGUUUUGAUUUUCUUGAUCUCCUGUCUGAGGUACUAAUAGCUAACAUAGAAUUAAGUGCUUGGCUUCAAAACUAUGCACUAAAAUAGGUGACAUAUCAGAAGGAAACAUAUACACUUAUACAUAGCAUUAUGUCUUGAAUUAUGGUGUGGGUAAUGUAGGGAAACUCAUAUUCUACUUGUAGUUUCAAGUUACUACACAAUUCAAUAGAGAGGUAAGAAGGUAAAUAGAGAUUAUAAUUUUCUUAUUUGUUUACAAAAGUCAAUUCUUCAUAAACUUUAUUAAUUACAAAUAAAUAGUGACAACUCAAAUCCAACAAUCUUAACAUAAAGAACUUACUUAACAUUAAUAUUUAAUGUCUAAAAUCCUAUUAACAUGUCUCAAAAAUAACAGAUAUAAUUAGAACUUGAAUUUAUCAAUAUAUGAAAGGUUAAAUUAUAAGAUAAUCCCUGUUUUUAUCAGUUUGUGUGAAUUUAAUUUAUCUACUUUUAUUUGCUCAAAAUUUAUCUUUCAACUUUUCUAGUUGGUAUUUUCAGUCCUUUGGUUAACUUCCUCCAUUAACUUUGUUUAAAGAAUAGAUAUAAUUACAAAUUUAACUCCUCCACCUUUACAAGUCAAGGAUACAAUUCUCUCACUGUUGAGCAUUCACUUCACCCUCUCACCACCGUCGAGCCGCAACUCAACACCAAUCCAAUUACCCCUACUACACAGAUGUCAACAACCCCCGUACAAAGCACGAUUCCUCCUGUGACCACUAUACCAAACAUGAAUAGUUUACCACCUCCCUUUCCUCAAUCGUCUACUGUUAAUAUCAUACCUUCAGCUUCUCAUCGGCUUGAACCUCAUGCUUAAUGUUCGAUCCAAUUCCAGUACCUCAUGAAUACAUUCCGAGCCCAUCAACAAGCAUUGGAUAAAACACUAUGACAGAUUGAACAAUUGAUUCUACUUUAAAAGGGAAAGAAUAUUAUAUGGACACAGAUCAACUUACUCUAGACGACUUAAAUUACAAAGAGUACAAACAAGCAGAGCAGAAAAUAAAACUCAUCUAUUUAGACCCCACUCAAGUAGAUUCGGCCAUGAACAUUAUUGCUCACCUCAUUGCCAAAGGAAGGAAUCAGCUGGUAGCCUUUUCUGUAAUAACACCAAUGUGUUCGUAUGGACAACCGAGUGCAUGCGCAGUAUUGAUCCAAGAUCACUACGGAUUUUGUAGCAGAGUGAAACUUCGCAAGGAUCCACGGACCACUACGGAUCAAGAAACUAAUGCUAUAGCUGAAUUUGCAAACACUGAACAAUUGUUAACUUUAUGCACAGACCGGAUCAUCUGUGAAAAAAGGAUCAAGAGCAUAAAUAAUCCUGACUGAUCCCAUAGGGCAUGGAUAUCACUACUGCCUCUCAUUAGCCUUUCUGCAACCAAUGACACAGUGGAUUAUGGAGCUUUGCUGGCCGCACUUGUCUUGGCUCAUUCCCUCGAUGUACAGUAUUUGCAAGUUUUUGUCGAUUCCCAACUGGUAUUUAAACAACUCAAAAAGAGAAUACGAGGUCAAAGGCAACACAUUGAUGGCUUAUCACAAGGCCCUGCAAAAACGAAUGCAAGAUAUACAGUAAAUCACCAUCAAACAAAUACCACAUGCUAAGAAAUAGCAGGUAGACACGCUUUCCAAAAUGGCUUACACCUUGGAGGUUGGACAAUGGGGGAAAUUGAUUACGAGCUAUCAUGAGACAUAAAUUACAUCAAAACCCCUGGCUCAUGGAUGACACCAAUCAUCAAUUGUCUAACAGGGAAAUAUGUAGAUAUAGUUACCUAAUCAUUCAAUUUUUGUCUUUUUUUUUGUCUUUAGUUGAAUAACUAAACAACUUUUAAAAUUGACAUAAUAAUAAUUUAACAUUAAAUAUUUAUACUUUUUAUUAAUUUAGUCUUGAUUUUAAAAAUUUAACCCUUAACAUUUAGUAAUUCAGUCUUUUUUUGUAAUUUUGUUUUCUUUUGUGUUUUUUUAUUAAUUGGUAUUAGUUUAUGUGUUAAUAGGUAACACAAUUGAAAUGUGAUGGUUUCAUAUUCGCUGUCCCCUGUCAUGAGCGACGCCACCGGCCUAAAGCAAUUCAUGUCCGCUGUUGGCGAAAUGGCACGUGGUGCAGACAUCCCCUCUAUCCCUCUUGUAUGGGAAAGACAUCUUUUAAAUGCUUGAGACCCACCACGAGUCACAUUCACCUACCCCGAAUAUGACGAAGUGGAAGUUGCCACCACCAGUGCCUCACCAUCGAACAACAUGGUUGAACAUUCCUUUUUCUUUGGCCCUGUUGAAGUUUGUUGGAAAUUGGCCUGCAUGCAGCAUGUGAAGAAGCCAAAGUGUCAACAUGCAGCCCAUACAAAUUCAAGCACAUGAGUUAUCCGGGUAAAGUAUGUACAAGAAUUUAUACACAUAAGUUACCCGGGUAAAGUACGUGUAACUGAAUCUGUUUGUUUUGGUUCUUUUGUAACCAAGUCUAUGAAAUGUGUUCUAGUUCGUUUUGAACUUAGUUUAAGCCUACAUUUGAUGUAGUUUGAUGAUGUAGGAGCUGAUGAUCAACUUUACUUAAGUGUACAAGUUUAGUUUUGUAAGUUUCAAUGUAAUAAGUGGAGUUAGGUAGUGUUUAGGUAAAGGAUUUGUUGAUCUUCUGACCAGCCAAAUGACUGGUAUAUGUAAUGGCUUUAAACCAAUGUUUAAAACGAAUGAAAUCAUCAGAUUUUCUUCCAUAUGCUCCAUUCUUCCUUUGCCUUCUAAAAAUUCUAAGUUCUAUUCUCCAUUCUUGACAGUAGCUAAAAGCUUGAACUUCAAGCAUUUUUUCUUCAUAUUUUACCCGGGUAUAAUACGUUGCUGCUGGUGCUCUGUUUGAAAUUCUUACUUUACCCGGUUAAAGUGUGUUGAAACUCCAACAAUUGGUAUCUAGAGCUGCAUUCUUAAGGGACCUGUUCUAGCAAACUUUAAAAAAAACGAUGGCUUUAUCAGGCUUCUCACCAGCUGCACCUCCAGUUUUCAAUGGAGAAGGAUAUCACAUUUGGAUAGUCAAGAUGAGAACCUACCUCCAGGCAUUUGAUCUAUGGGAGGUAGUUAACUCAGAUGUUGAACCAGAACCAUUGAGAGCAAAUCCAACAGUGGCUCAAAUGAAGCAGUACUCUAAAGAAAAAAGUAAAAAGCACAAGGCUAUGUCAUGCAUUCAGAACUGUGUUUCUGAUGUUAUUUUCACCAGGAUCAUGGCUUGUGAGACUCCAAAGCAGGCCUGGGACAAGCUUAAGGAGGAGUUCCAACGUACUGAGAGGACAAGACAGCAGCAGUUGUUGAACCUGAGAAGGGAGUUCGAGAACUUAAAGAUGAAGGAAGAGGAAACUGUCAAGAAGUAUUCAGACAGAAUUAUGGCUGUAGUAAACAGCAUAAGGCUCCUUGGUGAGCAUUUUAGUGAAGCAAGGAUUGUGGAGAAAGUGCUCUCUACCUUACCAGAAAGGUAUGAGGCAAAAAUAUCCUUUUUAGAGGACUCAAGAGACUUAACCAGCAUCACUUUAACCAGCAUCACUUUAACAGAGCUGAUCAAUGCUCUGUAUGCACAAGAGCAAAGGAGGGCCAGCAGACAGGAGGAGCACUAAGAAGGUGCCUUUCAAGCCAAAGCCAAGUCUGCCUCGAGCACCUCUUCCUACGAAGGCAAGAAUACCUGGUCAAACGAGCCUAAAGCAGAUGGUGCAGGAAGAUAUCCACCCUGUCCACACUGCAGAAGGGCAAGUCACCCGGGUAAAGUAUGUUGGUUCAGGCCUGAUGUGCAGUGCAGAUUUUGCAAAAAGAUGGGUCAUAUAGAAAGGGUUUGCAAAAACAAAGGCAGACCAAGAUACAACCAACCCUAGCAGCCAAGAGCUGAAGCUCAAGUAGUAGAAGAAGGCAAUGACCAAGAAGAACAAGUUUUUGCAGUUUCUUGUUCAGCUGUUAAAGGAAAAGCUACAGAUGGAUGGUUGAUAGACAGUGGUUGCACAAACCACAUAACCCCUGAUGCUAGCAUUUUUAAGUCAAUUGACAGAAGCUUCAAAACAAAUGUGAAGGUCGGAAAUGGACACUUCAUCAAAGUUGAAGGCAAAGGAGAUGUGCUGAUAAGCACUCUUACAGGUACCAAACUUGUUAAAAAUGUCUUGUUAGUGCCUGAAAUUGAUAGAAAUUUGCUUAGCAUUGCUCAACUGCUUGAGAAGGGCUAUUUAGUUGUAUUCAAAGGUAAAGAAUGCCUGAUUAGUGAUCCUAGUGGAUCCAAGCUCAUGACAGUAGCUAUGACAGAAAAAAGUUUUAUUGUGGACUGGAAUAAGAGUCCAGAUAGUGCCUAUACAGCUGCUGCAGAUGAAUCCAAGUUGUGUCACAAGAGGCUUAGUCAUGCCAACUACAUGUCAAUGGCUCAGCUAACCAAAGAAGAUUCGGUUGAAAAUUUCACUAAUUCAGUUGAGAAAGAAAGGAAAUUUUUGACACUCAAAGAGGUGCAUGAUAUGCAUGGGAACCAAACAUCUGCUCAGAUAAAAGAAUUAGAAGCACAUGUAACUAGCUUGGAACUUGAGUUGAAAUCAUUGCAAGCAAUUAACAGAGAUAUGGCGGAGUAGUUAGAGAACAAAGCAAGUGAAGCAGAAAAACUGGGAGAACAAAAUAUAAGACUCCAAUCCCGUAUUUCAGAACUCAAAAUAAUGUUAGAAAAGAGAGAAAAAGAAAUUUUUAUUCUCACGAAGAAACUUGAGGAUCAUAACAGUGAAUCAUUGUCUGGUGUGAAGAACUUGACUGCUCAGGAAAAUAAUCUGCUAUCAGAGAAGGAGACGUUGCAAGCUGAGAAGGCUCUGUUGAAAGAAAAUUUUGCAUUUGAAGGUGAUGAAGCAUCAAAUCAAGUACAGAGGUUAAUAGAUGAGGCAAACACAUUGCAGCAACAGCUGGAAUCUCUUCAUAUCCAGAAAGCAAAACUGGAAUUGCAGUUUGAGAGAAAGAAACAAAAGUCAUCCGAAAAACUGAAUGAAAUGGAGAAUCAAAAAUCAGAGUUGAAGCAAAUGGUCGAGGACCUUCAAAGAAAUUUGGAAGCAAAAGGAGAUGAGAAAAAUGAUUUAGUGAACCAAAUCAUCAGAGAAUGCUUAAAGAACAAGAGUUUGUAGCAUGCAAGCCAAGGAGGAGUGUUGGAAAUUGGCCUGCAUGCAGCAUGUGAAGAAGCCAAAGUGUCAACAUGCAGCCCAUACAAAUUCAAGCACAUAAGUUAUCCGGGUAAAGUAUGUACAAGAAUUCAUACACAUAAGUUACCCGGGUAAAGUACGUGUAACUGAAUCUGUUUGUUUUGGUUCUUUUGUAACCAAGUCUAUGAAAUGUGUUCUAGUUCGUUUUGAACUUAGUUUAAGCCUACAUUUGAUGUAGUUUGAUGAUGUAGGAGCUGAUGAUCAACUUUACUUAAGUGUACAAGUUUAGUUUUGUAAGUUUCAAUGUAAUAAGUGGAGUUAGGUAGUGUUUAGGUAAAGGAUUUGUUGAUCUUCUGACCAGCCAAAUGACUGGUAUAUGUAAUGGCUUUAAACCAAUGUUUAAAACGAAUGAAAUCAUCAGAUUUUCUUCCAUAUGCUCCAUUCUUCCUUUGCCUUCUAAAAAUUCUAAGUUCUGUUCUCCAUUCUUGACAGUAGCUAAAAGCUUGAACUUCAAGCAUUUUUCCUUCAUAUUUUACCCGGGUAUAAUACGUUGCUGCUGGUGCUCUGUUUGAAAUUCUCACUUUACCCGAUUAAAGUGUGUUGAAACUCCAACAAAGUUUCACUUCUUCGUAGGCCCCUCCCUCUCCACCUUCGAAUUGCACCAAGUUCGAACUCUUUAACAGCUUGCUUUUGGCGCUGUCGAAACCAUUGCUUUAAAUCUUGACCCUAACAAAGAGGUACGUUCAAAAUUUUAUCCUUCAUUGCGAUGUUAUGGAAUGGUUGUCUCCCCAGCAGCAGUAAAAACCUCUGCCACAAUCCAUUAGGGUAUAUAGUAGAAUAAAUAAAGCAAGCAAAAGCAAGUAUGACACUGGAAUAUGUGAAAUCAUUGGCAGCUUUAAUUGUGAUUAGGGGUAAACGACUCCAUUUUCCGGAUGAUGUCGAGUCGUAUGUGAUAUCCGAUAACAAACAUCAAAUUCGAAGAUGUCGAUUUCGGAUGGGGUAAGGCAGUUUUUGGAGGGCUAACAAAAGCCAUUGGAAUGAUCAACUUUUUUCAUACCAACUAAGACUAAGAAAGGAGAAAGGAGAAGUUGGAACUUUGGUACCAAUUUGUUUACCAGCUCCAGCCAUUGAAAGGUUUGCCAAUGAAUUGGACAACAUGUUGAAACACUAACAAAAUGAGGGUAAGAUGAAUAAAUUCUAUGUAAUAGUGUAAGGAUGAGUCCUGAGAGUAGUAAGGUUGAGGAAAAAUUAAUCGAAAAUCAAUUCGAAUUAUAGUGUUAAAUUGUUUUUUGGUCCAAUUUUUAUUGAAUUUGGUUCAGGUAUUAGUUAAAUAAAUUUGGUUAAACUACAAUUAUUCAAACAUAAUGGAAUCGUAUUAUUUUCCCUUUCUCCAGCAAGACAAUAAAAUUAUAUUAUGACAAAUUAUUAGAACCUUUUAAAAAUAAAUGUAGUGAUUUAAUAUUAUUUCUAUACUCAAAUGGGAAUCCUUUUAGGUAGCGUUUGUUUUAAGGUUUUAAGACGUUUAGUUGACAUUAAUCUUAUUAGUUUCAUUAUUUUGAAUGUGUCUUAAAGAGGAAAUAAGUUGCCAAAAAGUUCCAAAGCUAAAGAAAAAUUGAAGGUGGUUGAGGAUUCAUCAGAGUUGAAGUCAUUAUAGUUCCGGUCAGGCCUAACUCUGAGAUUGUUUGAGAGUGCUGUUGCUCAGGGACUAAAAUUGAAAGGAGCUCAAAAAAAAUAUUUUUUCAGUUUUAAUGUAGUGAAAAAAUUUUCAGAUUAAAAUAAAUUAAUUAAAUGUCUAAGGUUUUAAAUUUCUCCUAAGAUCCAAAAAAAAAAAUUCAACUUUUAUUGUAUUAUAUUUUAUAAUUUUUUUAAAAGGCUCAAUUUAUUGUUUUGCUUAGGCCUAAAAAUGUCAAGAACGGGUCUGAUACGGAUUAUCAAUAUGUGUUCUCUAAAUUCUAAAAUAUCCUAUAAUGUUUGCUGAAUUGCUUGCUUGUGUGUUUAGGUUCAUAUUGAUUGUUAAAUAUUGGUGAUAAUGUUCAUAUCAUGUGUUUAAAGUGUGAAGUAUUAGUCUAAAUUGAUAUAGGAUAUAAUUUCUAAUACAAUUGCCUUUAUAAACGUUGUCAGAAGGUUGUUCAGGUACAAUUGGUAUACCAUAUAAGGUUUGCUUGGUGGGGACAGAAGUACAGAAAGAUUGUGCUUUGUGCAUUACAGAGUUUGAUUGAUUAAGUCAUGUUAUGCAUAUCCAUUUUAACUUGAGGACAUAGAUGUACGGUACAAACCUUGCAACCCCAAACCUUUCCUUCUCCUUGGCCCAAAAUUUAAAAGACAAGUUUGGAUUUGAAACAGUUGUUUAAGAGAUUAACUCAUUGUUGCAUAUGUCAAAACCAACCUGUCUCUAGCUUCCUUCUCCAGUGGCGAGUUGAUGGGCAAAUUUGGUUAACACUGUUAAGGAAUCUAAGUUACUUUAUCUCAUCCCACUAAAAAUAUAAAAAGGAUGUUCUAUAUUGUUUUUGUUAAUAGUAUAUUUAUAUUCUGGAAUAGUUUAUUGUUUUUUAACUUAUUUUUGGUAGAGUUGGAUAUAUUUAGAGUAGUGAUUAAAAUUCUAGUCUGAUAUCUGAUGUGAUUUAAACUCUGUAAUCUCCUUCUCAAUCCUCUAAUAUUGUAUUGAUAUUAAAAAAAAAAAACAGUCUUUGGUAGAUGAACUCUUUCAAACAAAGUAUCAAACCUCAUUGAAGUAACAUUUAUAAGAAUCUCGUCCACUCAAGCAAAGUAUCAAUGUAGUCUAAAGGAACUCGCUAAAAGAAAUAUAUGAAAAUAGAUUUAGAGUCUUUCUUUUUCAAAUAUUCGCUUUACUUUGAUUAUCAUGGGAAUUACCAGAAAAUUUUAAAAUAUAUUUAAAAAUUCAUAAAAUAUUUAUGAAAAUUUCAAUAAUAUAUAAAAAGAAUUAAAUGAUUUUUUUAAAAUUUGUUUCAUACAUAACUUUUCUUUUUGUGAAACUCAUAAUAUUUGUGCAUGUAAGUUCUUGAUGCAGAACAAUACCAAAAAGAUUGGAAAUCAAUAUUCAUUGUGUAAUCCACAAAGCAAAGCAAGGAAUAAAGUGAAAAUUUGGUAUUCUUCUUUUAAUUUUAUCCAUUGUUGUCAAAUUUAAGAAUUAAAGUAGAAACCACCCAAUUCCAUUACAUCCCAUUCUUGGCUUUUAUAAAUUAAGAUUGAAUUAUAAAAAGAGAAAAAGUGGAAGCCAAAUAACAAAAGCCAUGUAAUAAAAAAUAUAUAAUAUUUUGAAAUAUUAUUUAAAAUACCCUCAUAAUUUUACAAUAAUGGUUUGUCUUCUAGUUUACUGAACUUUUUAACUUUAUUAUUAAGAAAAUAAUUAAAAAAAAAGAGUUAAGAAAUACAAACAAAUAAAAGAAACCCACUAAAAUGAAGUAUGAAAGCAAAGACAGAUUAAAAGCAAUAUACUAAGAUAGUUUUGGAGUCUCUCUCUUUCAAAUUUCUACUUUACUUCCAACAUUCACCUUCUGUUUUUUUCUUCCUACGUCGACGGAAAAAACCAAAGAGGAAGGAGAAAUGGAGGAGUCACAGAAUUAUGGUCACCAACAUCCCUUGCUUCUUCUUUUGAAUGAAGAUCAGCCGAUUGUAGCUAACUGCUCUUGGUGUGGAGAGAAGGUGUCAACUCCAUGUUUUAGCUGUGCCCAGGAUUGUGGGUUUUAUCUUCACAAGGUAUGUGCCGAGGCACAUUUGGAGCUUAAUCAUCCUUUUCAUCCUCAUCAUCCUCUUCUUCUUAUGCAAAAGGCACCUUAUUCAUUGGGAAUGUACCUCUGUAAUUUUUGCUAUGAAGCGGUUAAUGAGUUUUUUUAUCACUGCUCUGUUGAAGCCGUGGCCUGCAUUGCAACAAAGAACCAGUAGCAGAAAAUUGAUCAAAGACCAGCAGCAACGAAUUGUAUAAUUUGAGCUGCUACACUAUUUUAAAGUAAAGUAAUGAAGCUGGUUCUCUUGGAAGAUCACAUUUUAGAUGUUUUGUUCCUAUGGAACUUUGUUCAAUUCUUUUGUAUUUUGACAGCAAAGUCAGUAGGAAAAUUGACUGAUGUAAUAGCUGGUAUGCCAGCCUUCUUUUGUAAUCAACUUGCAUUAUUUUAGUAUGUAUUAAGUAAGGGCAGUUAAGUUAGUAGGUAACUGUCAAACAUUACUUGUAACUCCCAUAUAUUCAAAAAUUUGAAUGAAAAAUAUAUGACUUUAGUUGCAAAAUUUUCUUGCUGAGUUCUCUUCUUUGUUUUUUUUUUUCAUUCGUUUUUGCUUUCUUUGUUACUGCCAUUUUAUCCAACAAAUGGUAUCAAGAGCUUUCAGUCUUUGAGGGCCUUGGUUGUACACUGUCAUUAAGCAAAUCGUGUUUGAAACAAAAGAAGAAGAGGUUGUUUUGCUUGCUGAAAAAUGAGUUUUACACCACCUCCUCCACCUGUCUUUGCUGGAGAAAAUUACAACAUCUGGGCAGUGAAAAUGAGAACAUACCUGCAGGCACACGACUUGUGGAAUGUUGUUCUCAAUGACACUGAGCCACCACCACUAAGAGCCAACCCGACUAUAGCCCAGAUUAGGCAGCACAAUGAAGACUGUGCCAAGAAGUAUAAGGCUAUGUCGUACCUUCAAAGUGGAGUUUCUGAUGUUAUUUUCACAAGAAUAAUGGCUUGUGACACUCCAAAGCAGGCCUGGGACAAACUCAAGGAGGAGUUUCAGGGGUCUGACAAGACCAGGCAACAGCAGCUGAUCAACAUGAGAAGAGAUUUUGAAAAUCUCAAAAUGAAGGACUCAGAAACCAUCAAGCAGUAUGCUGACAGAAUCAUGGCUACUGUCAACAACAUAAGGCUGCUUGGGGAAGAAUUCAGUGACCAAAGAGUGGUUGAGAAGGUCAUAACAACCUUGCCAGAGAAGUAUGAAGCAAAAAUUUCUUCUCUGGAAGAUUCAAGGGACUUGUCAACAAUCCCUUUGACAGAGCUUAUAAAUGCUCUCUAUGCUCAAGAGCAGAGAAGGGCAAAUAGGCAGGAGGACCACUAUGAAGGAGCUUUUCAGGCUAGAAGCAGAGAAAGCUCAAGUGCAAACUUAAAUGCCAAAGGCAAGAAGCCCUGGACUGAGAAGAAGAAGAAAGAACCUGUCAAAAGGAAGUUCCCACCUUGUGUCCAUUGCAAGAAGACUACUCAUCUUGAGAAAUACUGCUGGUACAGACCAGACAUUCAAUGUAGAGCCUGCAAGCAAUUUGGCCACAUUGAAAAGGUCUGUAAGAGCAAGCCAAAACCACAACCACAAUUUCAAAGCCAAGCUCAAGCUGCAGAAGAGGUUGAAUCACCAGAAGAGCAUGUCUUUUCAGCAUCAUGCUUUGCAAGCUCGAGCAAAUUUAGUAAAAUAUGGUUGAUUGACAGUGGAUGUACCCACCAUAUGGCUUCUGAGAAGAGUAUAUUCAAGGAGCUUGACACUACCUUCAAGUCCAAAGUCAGAAUUGGCAAUGGUGAGCUACUGGAGGCAAAAGGGAAAGGCAAGGCUUUGAUAAGUACUAAGUCAGGUAUUAAAACCAUUUCAGAGGUUCUCUAUGUACCUGACAUUGACCAAAACUUGCUAAGUGUUGGCCAGCUAUUGGAGAAGGGUUACUCUUUGAUUUUUGAAGGCAAAAACUGUUUGAUCAAAAAUGCUGCUGGUGAAGUGUUGACUACAGUGGCUAUGCAAGACAGAACCUUCAUUGUGGAUGUGAAUCAACUGUGAGCCAAGGCAUACGCAUCUCAGUCUGAUGAGACAGACUUGUGGCACAGGAGGAUGGGGCAUGUGAACUACAAUUCACUGAGCAUGCUGCACAAAAUGGAUUUGGUCAGUGAUAUGUCCAAAAUUGAGCCAAAGGAUGCUGUAUGUCAGGUCUGUCAGCUAGGCAAACAGACCAGAUUACCCUUUCCAGUAAACAAGGCAUGGAGAGCACAAGGGAAGCUUCAGCUUAUUCAUACAGACAUCUGUGGACCAAUGAAGACUACCUCCUUAAAUGGCAGCAGGUACUUUGUACUCUUCAUUGAUGAUUAUUCAAGGUUCUGUUGGGUAAAUUUUUUGAAGCAUAAGUCAGAUGUUUAUGACUCUUUCUGCAAAUUUAAAGCCUUGGUCGAAAACCAAGCAAAUUGCAAACUAAAAUGUUUGAGGUCUGACAAUGGUUCUGAGUAUGUAUCUCAGAAGUUUCAAAAAUUGUGUGAUGAUGCUGGAAUUCAACACCAAUUGACUACUGUGUACACACCACAGCAAAAUGGUGUUUGUGAAAGGAAAAACAGAACAGUCCUUGAUAUGGCUAGGUGUUUGUUAUUUGAGGCUAAAAUGCCUAAUGUUUUUUGGGCUGAAGCUGUGAAUACAGCUAUUUACCUGUUGAAUAGGUUGCCAACUAAUGCAGUCAAAGGAAAAACUCCCUUUGAAGCCUGGUUUGCACAGAAACCAUCUGUCUCUCAUUUGAAGGUAUUUGGCUGUCUAUGUUAUGUGUUGGUACCUGAGGAGAGAAGAACCAAGUUGGACAGGAGGUCCAUGCCUGGGGUGUUUGUUGGCUACAGCAAUGUGAAGAAAGGAUACAGAGUCUUUGAUCCACUGACCAAGAAGGUUGUAGUGAGCAGAGAUGUGAAAUUCAGUGAAGCAAGUAGCUGGAAAUGGGAUGGAAUUGAAGCAAAUUUGCCAGAUGGAGAAGAGAUUGAUGUUGAUCUGCAGCAAGCUGAAAAUGAAGAAGUAAUUGAAAAUGGCUAUGAUAAUCAACCUGUUCGAGGCACCAGGACAUUAACUGACAUCUAUGAGAGAUGUACAGUAACUAUAGAAGAGCCUUCAUGUUUUGAAGAAGCUGCAAAAGAAAAAUGCUGGCAGGAUGCUAUGGAAGCUGAAUUUAAAAUGAUUCAAAAAAAUGAUACAUGGGAGCUUGUAAACAGACCUGAAAACAGAAAAAUUAUAGGUGUAAAGUGGGUCUAUAGAAUUAAGAACAAUGCAGAUGGCUCUCUUAAUAGACAUAAGGCCAGACUGGUUGUUAAAGGUUAUAGUCAGCAGCAAGGGGUUGAUUUUUCUGAAACCUUUGCACCUGUUGCAAGGUUGGAUACUAUCAGAUUGCUGCUAGCUUUGGCAGCUCAAAAGCAUUGGAAGGUGCAUCAUCUGGAUGUUAAGUCAGCCUUUCUAAAUGGCUUUCUUAAUGAAGAAAUAUUCAUUGAGCAACCUGAGGGUUUUAUGGUCACUGGUGAAGAACAGAAGGUCUACAAGCUGAAAAAGGCCUUGUAUGGUCUAAAACAGGCUCCAAGGGCCUGGUAUGAGAGGAUUGAUGGCUACUUAGCAAGGCUCGGGUUCACAAAGAGUAUCAGUGAGCCUACACUCUAUGUUAAGAAGGAUCAGGAGGAAACCUUAUUAAUUGUUUCCUUGUAUGUUGAUGAUCUGUUGGUUAUUGGCUGCAAAGAUGAACUUAUUGAAGACUUCAAGAAACAGAUGCAACAUGUCUUUGAGAUGACUGACCUUGGUCUGAUGACCUACUUUCUUGGCAUGGAGAUAAAACAAGGAAGUGAUGGCAUUUUCAUAAGUCAGCAAACAUUUGCUUCCAAGGUGCUUGAAAAAUUUUGCAUGUUGAAAUGCAAAUCAGUCACUACACCAGUUGCAUUGGGAGAAAAAUUGUCAAGUGCCAGUGAACAUGAUCGAGUAGAUGAGAAGGCAUAUAGAAGCUUAAUUGGUUGUUUGCUUUAUUUAACAGCAACUAGACCAGACAUUGUCUAUGCUGUUAGUCUACUUUCAAGGUUUAUGCACUGCAGUAAUGUGGCACAUCUGAAGGCAGCAAAAAGAGUGUUAAGGUAUGUCAAAGGAACCAUCGAUACUGGUGUGAAGUUUUGGAGGGCAAGGGAGCUGAAACUCGUAGGCUAUUCUGAUAGCGAUUGGGCAGGGUCAGUUGAUGACAUGAGGAGCACUUCAGGUUAUUUUUUCACCUUAGGCUCGAGUGUUUUCAGCUGGAGUUCCAAGAAGCAACAAACUGUUGCACAAUCUACAGCAGAGGCUGAGUAUAUCUCAGCUGCAGCAGCUGUGAACCAAGCCAUUUGGCUUAGGAAGAUUUUGGAUGAUUUGAAUGAAAGUCAAGUUCAGCCUACUGAGAUUAGAGUGGAUAAUCAAUCAGCUGUGGCCAUAGCCAAAAAUCCAGUCUUCCAUGGUAAGACUAAACACUUCAAAAUCAAAUUUCAUUUUGUUAGAGAAGCUGAGCAAUCGAGGGAGGUUAGCUUAGUUCAUUGCAGUUCAGAAAUUCAACUGGCUGACAUUUUAACUAAACCAUUGGGAGCCAACCGAUUUAAUGCUUUGAAGGAAAGGAUUGGUGUUUGUUGCAUACAGACCAAGGAGGAGUGUUGAAGCCGUGGCCUGCAUUGCAACAAAGAACCAGUAGCAGAAAAUUGAUCAAAGACCAGCAGCAACGAAUUGUAUAAUUUGAGCUGCUACACUAUUUUGAAGUAAAGUAAUGAAGCUGGUUCUCUUGGAAGAUCACAUUUUAGAUGUUUUGUUCCUAUGGAACUUUGUUCAAUUCUUUUGUAUUUUGACAGCAAAGUCAGUAGGAAAAUUGACUGAUGUAAUAGCUGGUAUGCCAGCCUUCUUUUGUAAUCAACUUGCAUUAUUUUAGUAUGUAUUAAGUAAGGGCAGUUAAGUUAGUAGGUAACUGUCAAACAUUACUUGUAACUCCCAUAUAUUCAAAAAUUUGAAUGAAAAAUAUAUGACUUUAGUUGCAAAAUUUUCUUGCUGAGUUCUCUUCUUUGUUUUUUUUCUUUCAUUCGUUUUUGCUUUCUUUGUUACUGCCAUUUUAUCCAACAUGCUCUUGCCAUUUUAACUUUCAUAUUAAAUGUGCUUUGUUUACAUUUAAUAGUGCUGAGAAUAAUUUGAAAGAGCUUGAGCAUGUUGCCCUUCAACAUCCUUUGACUUCCACUGAAAAUGGUGAUUAUGUUGCUAUGUGCUUUGGGUGUUGGGAACCAUUAGCAAAUUAUACACAUUUUUCUCCUGAUUGUGGAUUUAAUUUACAUGAGAAAUGUGCUAAGCUUCUUCUCAAAUUGAAUUUUAUGUACCAUCCUCAACAUCCUCUUGUUUUACAAUUUAACAAUGCGAGACUUCGUUGCAAGAUAUGCAAAGCAACUAUCCGAAGAGGAUUUGCUUAUGGUUGUACAUAUUGUGAGCUUGUAUUUCACAUAGAAUGUUUAUCACCACCACUUGAUCUUGCUGUUGAAGACAAAAGCCAUCAACACACAUUCACUCAACUUUUGAGAAGAGUGCCGUACAUUUGUGAUGCGUGUGGUAUUGAAGGAAUUUACGUUGCCUAUACAUGUUCUACAUGCAGCAUUAUGGUCCAUAAAAGGUGCACUACAUUGCCACGUAUCAUCAAAAGCAAGUGGCAUGAUCAUCGCCUUUUUCACAAAUAUUUCCUUCCGGAUGAAUUUAGAAGUUAAGACUGCACCAUUUGUCAUGAUGAAGUCUAUCCAGAGCAUGGUAGUUAUUUUUGUUCACAUUGCAAUAUUACAUUCCAUGUGCGGUGUGUGACACAGGAUAAAGGCUCAUAUUCAAUAGUUUCACUAGAAAAUGAAGACGAGAUGCCCAAUGAAAGUUCCAUCAUUGUUAUUGAGAGGAAAGAUGCUGGAGAAGCUACAAAAAUAAAGCAUUUCAAGCAUAUGCAUAAUCUAAUGUUAGGUCCCUUUGAUGGACGAUAUGAAAAUAGUUGCAACGGGUGUAUGCUGCCAAUCACGGAUCCAUGUUACUACUGUUCAGAAUGUGUUUUUUUUCUUCAUAAAACGUGUGCCGAGUUACCUAAGAUGAUGAAUGUUUGGUAUCAUUAUUGCCAAGAGCCUCUAGCCCUUAUUUCUGACAAACCUUUUCGUUGUGAACAAUGUCUGGAAAUAUCUAAUGCCUUUGCUUAUGAAUGUUGUGGAUGUAAGAGAAAUAUAUGUCUCCUAUGUGUGAUUGCUCUUACUCCUGGUGCUCGAACAAGUUUGAAACAUAAGCACCCCCUCUUUUACUACAGAUGGGAUGAUUUGGAAGAUGAGCACUCCCCCAUUUACUACAGGCAUGAUUUCAAUCAGCUACCCCUCGUUUACUACAAAUGCCUUGAUAGGAAAUGCAAUGCUUGUGGUACGGCUACGCGGGGGGCAUUUUCUUGUAAGGAUUGCAAUUUUGUGCUAGAUCUUCGAUGUUUCUCACUUCCAAUUAAAGCUCGUCACAAAUGCGAUGAGCAUCUUCUUUCACUCACUGAUCAUGAUGAUAAUUAUUCAAAAAGGCAUCAUUGUGAUAUCUGUGAAAAUAGUCGAGAUCCAAAUCGUUGGUUUUAUCAUUGUGCAACAUGCGAUACUUCUGCUCAUACUGGUUGUGUUCUUGGAAAAUAUCCAUUCCUCAAACUUGGGAGCAUCUAUGAAGAAAUAGAUCAUCCACACCCACUCACCGUUGUGAAGAAGAAGUAUUACUAUCCUGAUUGUGAUAAAUGCGAUAAGCCCUGUGAAGAUGUGGUUCUUGAGUGCUCAAAGUUAGAGUGCAAAUAUAUUGUCCACUGGGAUUGUGUAGCACCCAUUUCUCUACAGUGUUGGUGGAAGUUGCUCAUGUAGCAAUUCAGAUGUAAUUAUAUUUGAAACUUGCCACUUCAUUUGCAGGUAAACUAAAGAGUGGAAAACAUGAUUUGAUCUUUGCAUUGUUACUUGUGGUGUUAGUUGUUGUUAUUGUAAUUUGGUUUUUUUAACUUUUUAAGUUAUAAAUAAAUAUAAUGUAAUAAUCUGAAGCUGAAACUUGUGAGGUUUGCAUUGGUGUUUGAUUGUUAAUUUUAGAAUUUAUUGUAAUUUGGGAGUGUGAUUGUACUUAUAAUAAUAAAAGUGUUGUUGGAUGCUUCUCUUUAUUUCUUUAUAUAAGUUUACUUGAAAAUACAACUUUUUCUUAAAUUAUUUUUCUCUCUUUUGCUACACAUUCAAAUUAGGUUUAGCAUUUGGUUAUGUAUUUGUUGUGGAUGCUUCAAACUCUAUGUAGAUUUAUCUCUCAUCUCUUUUUUACUCUUUUAUAUCACAACCUUGUAUGUAAUUUCUUUACUAAAUAAUAAAUUUAAUGUCAUAAUAUGACCAAAAGCAACAUAUAUCUAACACGAUCAUUCUUUAUAUAUAUAGUCAUUGAAUGUAUAAUUUAUUAUUUACGGAUUAAAAAAUACUUUUAAAAAAUAUCCGAAACUUUUUUUAUUAAAUUAGAUAACAAAACAUUACGUUAGGAUAAAUUGUUUUUUUUUUGUCAAACUGCGGUUAUGGUUGUUGUAGUAUGUUUAAAUUUAGGAUUUGGUAUUUAUAUUUUAAUUUGAAAUAAUUUAGUUUUUAUACUUGUAGAAUAUCAUUAUUUAGUUCAAAUAGUUGGCAUCCUUAAUUAUUAUUGUUAAAAUGUUGAGGGUAAAUUUUUUUCUAAAAAUAUUCAUUCUAAUUUAUCAUGUCGAAAUAGAUUUUCAGCGUGUUUUUAAGAAAUAUUCAUAUAAUCAUUUUAGUGGAUUUUAAACUAUUUGAACUAAGCUAUGUCAUUUUUAAAAUAUAGAAUCAAAUUAUGCCAAAUUAAAAGACUAAAUACAAAACAUGAGCACAGUAAAAGGAUUAAAGUGGAAAUUUAACCAUUAUCUUAUAAUGGCUUAAAAAAGAGAAAAGGAUGGAGUUGGAUAGGUGCCAUGGACAGAAAAUAUACAUUCCAACAUGUCAUACUAAAAUAGUUAAUUUUUUGUGUUACAAAAGUGUUUUUAUGAAAAAUUUACAUCAUAAUUUUAAUUCUUUUAAUAUCGAAUACUUAUAUCCAGCGAUGGAGUCACCGGUCCCUUUAUUAUUUAUAAAAUUUUAAAUUAGUAAUGGAAAAUUUAUAAUUUGUUUUUUUUAAAUAAUAAAAAAUUAAUUUAAUUAUUUAAAAAUGAUAAAGUUAUAAAUCAUUAAAUAGUGAAAUUAUAUUUUUACGAUAGUAAAAAUAUACAAUUUAAUUCCGACCUCCCAAUUUUUUUUUUAUUUUGCCUCAUUAUAUCUAUGUUUUAUAUAUUUGUGAGUAAAAAUAGAUAUAAUAAAUAUAGCCCACAAAAUUAAUAUAUAUAUAUAUAUAUAUAUAUAUAUAUGAGCAUAAUACAAUAAGUAUCAUAACAACUACAUAAUUUUUUUGGGGGAAAAUAGAUUCAUAUAUUUCAAUUUAGAAUGAUAAAAUAUAUACUGAAAUAAUAAUUAUGAGUAUAUCAUUAAUAUGGGUGAUAAAUUUUAGUGUUUAUAUAUUUUACUGUAAUAUUAUUAAUUUUAUUUUGUACAUUUAAAUUAUAAUAGAUAUUAGGAAUAGUAAUGUAUUUUAUCUUAUGAAAAGGUAUUAGCACUAAUAAUAAACUUUAAUCAACAUAUUCUUAAUUUAAAUACCAAAAAUAUAAAUAUAAUACUAAAACAUUAAAUUAAAUAUAAAAAUAAAUUUAUACAAAUUAUUUUAAUAUUGAUCAGUGCAUCGCGGUCGUGUAUUCCUACUAUUGAUAUAUCGGAGCCUAGCCUAAUCUAUUGAUAAAUGUAAUAGUUAGGGGUUAUGAUUGUAGCAAUUAUUAUUAGCCUAACCAUUUGCUAAGUUUAAAGUGAUUUUGAAGUUUGUGUGGUUGUAGUAAAUUGAGUUUUAAUUCGACUGAUAUAUGUAUUGUUGUCAAUGUAGAAAGACGUAAGUUUAAGUGCAUUGAAGCGCAUUAUCCUCUUAUUUAUGAAUUAGAGAAGAGUUAUAAGUAGUUUUAGGUAUUGCGUCAAAAAGAAUCUAUAUGAAAAGUUUGAGUGGUUGUAGUUAGUUCUAUUCCUACCCUGAAUCACGAGUGAUUUUAUUUUUAUUUUGUGCUUCUCUCAACAUGUGUUGCUAGACUGUUACUUUUAAUCAAAGUAAAUUUGAGGUUUUAAUUCUUGAAAUUUAAUUGACUUUUAUUCUAUUUGUUUUUUUGGUAUAUAUAUAUAUUCUAUUUUAGUUACAAAUAUUUAGAUUUGUUGAAUAUAAUUUUCAUCUCAAUCAGAAUUAUUUGAUAAUUACAUUAUGAUGAGUUAAUAGUGCAGGAGAGCUUUUGGUGGAUUUGUUCGAACAAGUGUAUGUUUGAUACAAUUAAAACCAAAUCCUCGUCACUGAUAUGGCGCCCUCUUCCGCAAGGCUGUACGAAGUUCAAUGUAUGCGGGAUAGCAAAUGAGGAAGGUGCAGGAGUUCUAAGAGAUAUGAAGGGUGUUGCAAGAGCUUUAUUUUCGGGUCCUAUUUCAACUAAUGAUGCAGAUUCAGCAAAGGCAGGGAUGGUGUUUGUAGCAUUGGAUUUGUUCUUAUCCAUGGGAUCGAAGAUUAACAGCUAUCUUAUUGUAGAAACUGGUUCAAAAAUGGUGUACAAUUGGUGUCUGAACAAGGAUAUGAGACCGUGGUCUUUACAAACGGCAUUUUUAGAUAUUGAGAGGAAAAUUGAGCUGGUGGGUAGAAUAGUAUUCUUGAUGGCAGAUCAGAAAGGUAAUGAAAUGGCUUCUACGUUGGCGGUAGCAGAUAUUAAUAGUGGCGAUAUGUUUAAAGCUUGGUGGUGAGUAUUAGCUUUGAUGUCGAGUAUUUGUUUUUCAAUUAUAGGAAAUGUUUCAGUGUGGCAUUUGUAAGUUGUUCCUUUGAAUGUUGUUCUUGUUGUAUUUACAACAAAUUAGUUUGAAUGAAGCAAAAAAAAAAAUUACUAAAUUUGUAUUUGUUUAAUAAUUAUAAUACAUGUGACGAAUAACAUGAUUGUGUAAAAGCUAAGUAUAUCUAAUUUAAAUAAACCUUACCUCUUUGUGUUUAUGGGCUACAAUUACAUUUCUCUAGUUUUUAAUAUUAUUGAUAGAUUAAGUUCUAGGUGCUUAAUUAUAGAGUUGUAUGUCAAUUAAGAAAAUAACUAACAAGCUUCACCUUCAUUAUCGAGAAGAUAAUGAGAGAUUAAUUGUUAGGUACUUUAUCAGUAAUUAGAAUUGAUUUGUCAGAGUAUUAUAAUUUAUCUUUACAUUAACGAUCAAAUUUAAAAAUCAAAAUUGAGUUUUCACCUUUGAUUAGAUUCUAAUCAUAUUGAUUUUCUUUUUAUUUUAUUUGUGAAUUUUGCUUUGAAUAUUUUAAUUUUAGUUUCAUUCCAUCUCUACAAAUAUGACCUUACUCACUCCUAACUACACAAUUUUAUAUUUUUCAGUAGGAUUUUACUUUUAUAGGAAUUGACAUCCAUUAAAUUUUGGUGUCAUUAUCGAGAAUUGAUAUCUAUAAUUUUAUUUAUUUAAUGCCUUUUAUCUUCUUGUGCAAGUGAGCUCUAGUAUGAAUUUGAGUUUGAUAAGACUACUCGAAGACUAUGGAAGGAAUCUAAUGUUAACAUUAAUGGAAGACAAUUAAUAAUGGUUGCCAUUAACAUUAAUGGGAGACAAUCAAUAAUAACAACCACCAACUUUGGAAAAGUGGCAAGGGAUAAUUUUUUUUUGGUCCUUGAGAUAAUGGGCUAUUUAUUGUUUGGUCCUUGAACCUCAACUAUAAAUAGGCCUUCUCAUUUCUCAUUUCAAUUCAUCCCAACCAAUCUUUCUCUCUUAGUUUUCUCUCUUCUCCCAUUUGAGAAUUCUUAAGGAAUUCUAUUUGUUUGUAAUACUUUGGAGAUAGUAAAGUUAUCAUCUGGUGUUAGUGCCCGAGGACGUAGGUAUAAUUUACCGAACCUCGUUAAAUCUCUUGUGUUCUUUCUUGUCCUAUUUUUCUUUCAAUAUUUGAGGGUAUAAUAGUAGUAUUUAAUUGUGCUAUUAAAUUACUAUAGAAGGGAUAUUCUGUCUAAGGAAAGACUUGGUAUUUAAGAGAUCCAUGUGAUCCACCUCUCUUCCCUGGGAAUUGAACUUUGUGUGAUUUUUUAGUACAAUAAUUUACACGCUUCCGACCCUAUUGGAACAACAAGUGGUAUCAAGAGCCGAAGGUUAAUCGUAGUAUGCUCUGUGGUUGCAGUUUGAACUGAUCUUCCACAUCAGAAAAGAUUUCCUUAGGUAUAUUGAAAGAUUAUGGAGAAAACGGUCGGUGUAGGAGCUUCAACAUCGUCCAUGUGGAUAAAACCGACAAUUGCAAAUGCAAGACUGGCCGUGGAGAUCUUUGAUGGCACGGGCCAUUUUGGUAUGUGGCAAAGUGAGGUUCUAGAUGCCCUUUUUCAGCAGGGUCUAGACAUUGCCAUUGAUGAAGAGAAACCAGAUGAUGUACAGGAGAAAGAUUGGAAGGCGAUCAAUCGGUUGGCAUGUGGCACAAUUCGAUCAUGCCUUUCUCGAGAGCAGAGGUAUGCUUUUUCAAAGGAGACUUCUGCAAAUAAGUUGCGGGUGGCACUUGAAGAAAAAUUUUUGAAAAAAAACAAUCAAAAUAAGCUCCACUUGAAGAAAAGACUGUUUCGCUUCACAUACGUCCCAAGUACCACAAUGAAUGAUCACAUCACCAAAUUUAAUCAGUUAGUCACUGAUUUGCUGAAUAUGGAUGAGACAUUCAAAGAUGAAGAUUUGGCUUUGAUGCUGUUGGGGUCACUUCCUGAGGAGUUUGAGUUCCUAGAAACUUCUCUACUUCAUGGCAGGAGUGAUAUAUCUCUGAGCGAAGUCUGUGCGGCCUUAUACAGUUAUGAAUAGAGAAAGAAGGACAAACAGAAAAAACUCAAUCAGAGAUACAGAAGCUUUAGUAGUUCGAAGUCGUUCAUACACUCGGAAGAAAGCUCAAAAGGGGAGAUCAAAGUCAAAGUCCAGACUCGGGAAAGAUGAAUGUGCUUUUUGUCAUGAGAAAGGCCACUAGAAGAAAAAUUGUCCAAAGCUGAAGAAUAAGGGAAAAGCUGCUGUAGAUGCUUGUGUUGCAAAGCAUGAUACCAGUGACUCUGAACUAUCACUGGUUGCAUCAUCAUCGUCGUUCCAUUCAGAUGAGUGGAUAUUGGAUUCGGGUUGUACCUAUCAUAUGUCCCCUAACCGGGAGUGGUUCUCUGAUUUAGUAGAACUAAAUGGAGGAGUUGUUUAUAUGGGCAAUGACAAUGCCUGUAAAACUGUUGGGAUAGGUUCAAUCCAAUUAAAGAAUAAAGAUGGAUCAACCAGAGUUCUGACUGAUGUUCGGUACGUGCCCAGUUUGAAGAAAAAUCUCAUCUCAUUGGGAGCCCUAGAAUCCAAUGGUUCAGUUGUUACUAUGAGAGAUGGGGUUUUGAAAGUGACAUCUGGCGCACUUGUGAUAUUGAAGGGCAUCAGGAAAAAUAACUUGUAUUACUACCAAGGCAGUACAGUUAUUGGAGCAGUCGCUGCAGCUUCCGGCAACAAAGAAUUGGACUCAAUACAGUUGUGGCAUAUGAAGUUGGGACAUGCCAGCGAAAAAUCCUUGCAAAUUCUGGCAAAGCAAGGAUUGUUGAAAGGUGCAAAGGCUUGCAAAUUAAAAUUUUGUGAGCAUUGUGUUCUGGGAAAGCAAAAGAGAGUGAAAUUCGGUACUGCUAUCCAUAAUACAAAAGGUAUUUUGGAAUAUGUUCACUCAGAUGUGUGGGGGCCUUCCAAGACACCUUCAUUGGGAGGAAAACACUACUUUGUUACUUUUGUUGAUGACUUUUCUAGAAGAGUUUGGGUGUAUACCAUGAGAACUAAGGAUGAAGUGCUUAGAGUUUUUCUUAAAUGGAAAACUAUGAUCGAAAACCAGACUGGCAAGAAAAUCAAGCGGCUUAGGACGGACAAUGGAGGGGAAUAUAAAAGUGAUCCGUUCUUCGAUGUGUGCCAAGAGUAUGGUAUUGUUCGACACUUCACAGUUAGGGAUACACCACAGCAGAAUGGAUUGGCAGAGCGUAUGAAUCGAACAUUGCUGGAGAAAGUUCGAUGUAUGUUGUCCAAUGCUGGGUUGGGCAAGCAAUUUUGGGCUGAGGCUGUGACAUACGCUGGCCAUCUUGUUAAUCGUUUGCCAUCAUCUGCAUUAGAAAGAAAAACUCCUAUGGAGGUAUGGUCUGGAAAACCGGCUACAGAUUAUGAUUCCUUACAUGUGUUUGGAUCCACUGCAUAUUACCAUGUGAAGGAGUCAAAGUUAGAUCCGAGGGCAAAGAAAGCUCUCUUUAUGGGAAUCACUUCUGGAGUGAAGGGAUUUCGUCUUUGGUGCUUAAGCACAAAGAAAAUAAUCUGUAGCAGAGAUGUUACCUUUGAUGAAUCUGCCACAUUGAAAAAGGUAGCAGAUAAAGAUAUUCAGACGAGCAAUACUCCACAGCAGGUGGAGUGUACUCCAAAACAGGUGGAGUUUGAGUAGAUGGGGAUUUGCCCAGUUAAUAAGUCUAAUUCUCCAGCCACAAUGGAGGAAUUAGAGGUUGAAGAGGUUCUGACCCAAGAACCACUAAGUACACCAGAACCAGUUGCAGUUGCAAGGCCACGGAGAGAAAUUUGUAAACCUGCUCGAUUUACUGAUAUGGUGGCCUACGCCCUUCCCGUUGUUGAUGAUAUUCCUAUCACUUAUCAAGAAGCAAUGCAAAGCUUAGAAAGUGAUAAAUGGAAAAGCGCCAUGGAUGAAGAAAUGCAGUCUCUCCGGAAGAACAAUACUUGGGAGUUGGCGCAAUUACCGAAAGGUAAAAGGGCAAUCGGAUGCAAGUGUGUAUUCGCAAAGAAAGAUGGAUCUCCUAGCAAGAAGGAUAUUCGCUACAAGGCAAGAUUGGUAGCUAAAGGCUAUGCUCAGAAGGAGGAAAUUGACUACAAUGAUGUAUUUUCCCCUGUUGUGAAGCAUUCCUUCAUUAGAAUUUUGUUGGCCUUGGUAGCACAGUUGAAUUUGGAGCUAGCUCAACUUGAUGUUAAGACGACUUUCUUGCAUGGUGAGUUAGAAGAGGAGAUCUAUAUGACUCAGCUAGAAGGAUAUACAGAUGCUGGUGGUAGAAAUUGGGUUUGUAAGCUUAACAAAUCGCUAUAUGGAUUGAAGCAAUCCCCGAGGCAGUGGUACAAGCGAUUUGAUAGCUUUAUGAGAAGGCAGAAGUACACAAGAAGCAAAUAUGACAAUUGUGUGUAUUUGCAGAAGCUGCAUGACAGAUCUUUCAUUUAUCUACUCUUGUAUGUUGAUGAUAUGUUAAUCGCUUCGAAGAGCCAAAAAGAGAUAGAUAAGCUGAAGGCUCAGUUGAAUCAAGAGUUCGAGAUGAAAGAUCUAGGUGAGGCCAAGAAGAUUCUCGGUAUGGAGAUAAGUAGAGAUAGACAGAGAGGCAAGCUUUGUUUGAAUCAGAAGCAAUAUCUGAAAAAGGUAUUACAAUGUUUUGGUGUAAAUGAAAACACAAAACAUGUAAGUACCCCACUUGCUUCUCAUUUGAAACUUAGUGCUCAAUUAUCUCCGAAAACUGAAGAAGAAAGAGAAUAUAUGGCGAAAGUCCCAUAUGCUAAUGCAGUUGGGAGUUUGAUGUAUGCGAUGGUGUGUACGAGGCCUGACAUUUCACAAGCUGUUGGAGUUGUGAGCAGGUAUAUGCAUGAUCCUGGAAAAGGACAUUGGCAAGCUGUGAAAUGGAUUCUACGGUAUCUUCGAAAAACCGUAGAUGUUGGUUUAAUUUUUGAACAGGAUGAAGUACUUGGUCAGUUUGUAGUUGGAUAUGUUGAUUCCGACUUUGCUGGUGAUUUAGAUAAACGUCGUUCAACUACGGGGUAUUUGUUUACUCUUGCGAAAGCCCCAGUGAGUUGGAAGUCUACCUUACAGUCUACAGUAGCUGUGUCUACUACAGAGGCAGAAUAUAUGGCAGUUACAGAAGCUGUUAAGGAGGCUAUUUGGCUUAAUGGAUUGUUGAAAGACUUAGGAGUUGUUCAAAGUCACAUAAGUUUAUAUUGUGACAGUCAGAGCGCUAUUCAUUUAGCGAAAAAUCAAGUCUAUCAUUCAAGAACCAAGCAUAUCGAUGUAAGAUAUCACUUUGUGCGGGAAGUCUUUGAAAAAGAAAAAAUUCUACUUCAGAAGAUUCCGACAGCAGAUAAUCCCGCAGAUAUGAUGACCAAGGUGGUAACAACAAUCAAGUUUAAUCAUUGUUUGAACUUGAUUAACAUCCUGAGAAUUUGAGCACCUUCAGAUGUAUGGCGCUCGAGAGCGCAUUUGUAGGCACUACAAAAGAUAGCUUUAUCGAAUUUGGGGAUUUGAAGGAAGUGUGUGAAGAUGUGAUUAUCCUAAUCAAAUCUUCAAGGUGGAGAUUGUUAACAUUAAUGGAAGACAAUUAAUAAUGGUUGCCAUUAACAUUAAUGGGAGACAAUCAAUAAUGACAACCACCAACUUUGGAAAAGUGGCAAUGGAUAAUUUUUUUUUGGUCCUUGAGAUAAUGGGCUAUUUAUUGUUUGGUCCUUGAACCUCAACUAUAAAUAGGCCUUCUCAUUUCUCAUUUCAAUUCAUCCCAACCAAUCUUUCUCUCUUAGUUUUCUCUCUUCACCCAUUUGAGAAUUCUUAAGGAAUUCUAUUUGUUUGUAAUACUUUGGAGAUAGUAAAGUUAUCAUCUGGUGUUAGUGCCCGAGGACGUAGGUAUAAUUUACCGAACCUCGUUAAAUCUCUUGUGUUCUUUCUUGUCCUAUUUUUCUUUCAAUAUUUGAGGGUAUAAUAGUAGUAUUUAAUUGUGCUAUUAAAUUACUAUAGAAGGGAUAUUCUGUCUAAGGAAAGACUUGGUAUUUAAGAGAUCCAUGUGAUCCACCUCUCUUCCCUGGGAAUUAAACUUUGUGUGAUUUUUUAGUACAAUAAUUUACACGCUUCCGACCCUAUUGGAACAACAGCUAAAUCGCAAUCCAACCAGAGAUCUUCAUCCCCAACUUAGAAUCAAUGCUUGAGAAAUAACUAUAAGAGGGUUAGGCAUGUUAGAUCUGAAUCAACAAUUGCUUUACAUUGGGGAAAGUAACUUUUGAAUUAAAAUAAUAGUAAUGAUAAGAUUAAAUAUUAUAAUAUAAGAUAAAAAAUUUAAAUACAUCGUACUAAAAAUAAAUAAUCAUCCAUAAAAACUCUAAUUUAUUUAUGUCCUUUUAGUGGCUUAGAGAAUGAAGAUUCACAUAAGCAUCGGAAGGAAUUCCAUGUGGAUUAUUUGACCUAAGAGACUUUAACGAGGAUCUGAAGAUCAAAUUAAGCAGUGAUAUUGUAAAAUUAUUUUUAAAUCUUUUCUUUUUCUUUUUUACUUCACGUGCUAUUUGUAUUAGGAAAGACAUUUGCAGCAUUAAACAAAAAGAUUAGGAUACUCUUUAUAAGUAGAAGUGUUAAUGGGUUGAGUCAAAUUCUAAUAAAAAUUUGGGUCUAUUUGAUAGGUCCAAUUUGACUCAAAAAAUGAGCCUAAAAUUUUGUCAAAAUUCUACUCAGAUUAUUGAUGUUAAACUCAAUUUGUAUUAAAAAUAUAGUAUCGAUACAAUAGGAAAUGUAUUGAUACUUGCUAUGAGGUAUCAAUACCUCGGGGAGGGUAUCGAUACUCAAACAAAUUUUCUUUAAUUUUCAAAACAUCAAAUCUUAAGACAGUAUCAAUACAUUCAAGUCGAGUUCGAACUAAAAAAUCCUUACCCAAGGCUCGAUCUAUUUUUUAAACAGGUCAUAUUUUUUAGUCUAAAUCAAUUUUUCAAACGAGUCUUUGAGUCGGAUGAUCAUGGACAGGUCUACUCACAAGUAUUGUGUAACGCCCAAAAAUUCAUAUUUCCGUUUUUGGAUAAAUUUGACACAAAUGUGUAUUUGCUUUAGUAGUUAAAUGUUUUGGGUGUAUGUGAGAGGUCCCAAGUUCAAGCUUUAUCUUUGACAAAUUUUGGUAUUUUUUUGACUUAAGCCUUAUUCUUAUUCAGCGGGCUUAUAUUAAAUUAUGUGUGAGCCCAUUUUCACUGAAUUGAUAGCUAAGGUUACACGGGUAGCCCAAGUUGACUGUGAACCUACUGUAGGAUCAGUAAGUAUUAUUUAGACCCCUAAUUCUGUGAACUGACUGAUUGAUGUUUAUAUAUUGAGUAUGAUGAUAGUAUGCAUGUAUACAUUUACUGAUUAUAUGUACUGAUAUCAUGAGAUAACAUGUCAUGUAUUGUAUGUUGCAUUGCAUGGGGUUGAGUUGAUUUUAUUUGGAGGAAGUGUACUGAAAGGCUCUUAAGCCUAAUAUACUGGCAGCUCAGCUGCAAUCUAUUGGUUUGUGCCGUAUUUGGUACUACUUGGAGUGUUGGGAUGGGUGGGUUGAUUUAAUCCCCACAUGGAGUGUAGGCUUGGACGGAGAUAGUCUGUAAAGGCUGGUUGGGUAGGAUUUUGUUACUGGAUGUUGUAUAUCUAUUGCUGAUACUGUGAUGGGCUAAGGCCCUUGUGCAUACUGAUACUGAUACUGAGUUGGGCUAAGGCCAAACCGUUACUGAUAUUGAAAGGGGCUUAGGCCCAAGAUUGUUUUUGACUGUACACUGUGUUUACUGUUAUUUGUUUUCUGUGGGAUUAUACACUGAGUUUACAUAAACUCACCUCUCUCUGUUUAAUGUGCACAGGUAAUUCCCAGACCUAGAAGAUCGGUGCGGUGGAGGACUUUACGAAGACCACUUGACUAUUAAACGAUUUUAUUUUCAUUUAUGGUUUAAAUUCCUUAUUUUGACUGUUUGACUUUUUGUUGGGUUUUAAAUUGAUCUAUGGGUUUUUAAACUGCAGAGCUCGAUUUUAUUUAAAUCAACGUUUUACUAAACGUGAACGGUUUUCAUCAAAUAUCACGAUUUGCAAGCUUUCGCUACGAGACAUGUUUUUAAACAAAUCAAGCUAGUGAUGAAACAAGUUUUGAAAUUAACGAGAGAUAAAUAAAAGCUAAUAAACGGAAACAACUUCAACUUGAAACAUUUGUUUUUAAAAUUUCAUUCCAUGUGACAUCGCUAGAUUCGGCUAUAACUUCUAGGCCGGGUUUGAGGUUACUCUUCUAACAUUUUUACGAAGGACUCCUCCAAAUGGAAAGAAAGAUGAUGAAUGUCGUUAAUGGAAGUUCCGUAAUGAACAAAGCUCCUCUUGAAGCUAGAAAGUUGAUUUUGAUCAUGGUUGUUAAUUAGUAAUAAUUCGAUUCAAACAAGACAUUCCAAAGGAGUGAAUGAAGUAAUUGUUUUUUCUCAAAAAAAUCGACUUUAUGAACUAAAUACUCUUGAGUGAUAAAUGGUUGUAGCGAAAGCACAAGUGAAUAUUCAUGGGGUUUGUGCUAAUUUCAAUCGUCCAAUUGAUAUGCGUCUAACAUUCCAAAAUGAUUAUUAUGACUGCUCCACUGCAAAGGAGAUAUGAUUCCUACUUAAAACACUUAUAUUCAAGGUUAGAAUAGCGGUGAAGUCCGACAUUUUUUUUUAGAGGAAUCAAAAUUAAAUUAUAUAUUUUUACGAUAGUAAAAAUGUAAUUUCACUAUUUUAAUAGUUUAUAUCUUUAUAACUUUUAAAAAAUUGCAUUAAAUUUUUAUCAUUUUUAGAAAGUCAAAAUGUAAUUUUACCAUUAUCAAUUUAAAAUUUUAUAAAUUAUAAAAAGACUUAAAUAAAAAAAAUUAUUUUAAGAGAGUUGAGACCCCUAUACCAGCCCUCUAGUCCCGCCUUAAUUGGAGGGAUCAUCUAAAUUUUAAUUGCAGAGUAACGUCGCAAAAUUUCCAACAUUCCCAACCAAAUUUAUUUAUAUUAAAAAUUACAUAUUUUUUAAAAACUAUUAUAUCAAAUUAAUUAAAAAAUUUAUUGUGAAAUGAUUAUAUUUUUAUUUCCAUUAGUAUUUUAUUGUUUAUUAUAUUACUACAUUUUACAUUGAGUCAUAUUUUUUUAGUUCAUUAUUAUUUUUAUAUAUUUAUAUUUUGAAUUUAAUUUUAAACAUUUUCUCAAAUUAUUUUCUUCAUUAAUAUUUGUAUAUAAAUUAUUUUCUUAAGUUGUAUUUUUUAGAUGGUAUAUUUAAAUAAAUUAGUCCAUACAUUCAAUUGAGGUUGAAUGAAUCAUAUAUUUGUUUUGUACUUUUACUAUUAUUUUUGUAUUGUGUUUUAAUUUUCCCAUAUCAUGUUUUCAUAUUUGGUGUGAUUUUAUCAUAAUUACUAGAAAGUAUUUAAAAAUAUUUACAUAAAAUAUAAAUAUUAAUUUUUUAAAAAUAUUUAUUUAAUAUAAUUAAAAUUAUUUUUAUUUAUAAUUGAUUUUUUGGACCUUGAGCAUAGUCAGGUAAUAAAUUCUAGUAACUACAUACAGAGGUGAAUAUAAGGAGACAGAUCCUUCCUCCCUUCAAAAAAUAUAUAAAAUUGUAGUUUUAGUUCCUUAAAGAUAAUUAAAUUUUAAAUUAUGCUUUGAAGCCUCUAAUAUAUAUAUAUUUAGUCACUCUCAAAAUAAUGAAAUCAUACUGAUAAAAUUAUGCUUUUGUCCUUCUAAAAAUAAAAAAAAUCUAUUUAAUCCAUUUAAAAAUAAUGAAAUCAUAAAUUAAUAAAUAAUAAAAUUAUAUUUCGACAUCUUAAAAUUUUAUAAUUUAAUUUUGAUUUUUAAAAGAAUUUCUAGAUUCGCCACUAACUAAAUAUAAAAGGAAUGCCAUAGGCGGCUUCUUGUUGUAGACACCUGUCCUAAUUAAUUUUUUUAAGUUUAAUCUAAAUUACAACCAACCACCCAAAAUUAAAAUCACAUUAAAGUUAUUAGGUUAGGCUAAUCAUAAUUUCUACAACUAAAGUUGGAGAUUAUAGAUAUAUAGAUGAGUCCAGCAUUAGCUGUAGAAAUUAUUAUUAUAGUCUAUCUUUUAACCUUAAUGUGAAUUAAUUGAGUGGUUGAUUGUAGUUUAGAUUAAACUUAAAAAAAAAAAAGCACACAAUUUUUAGAUUAGAUCUUAAAAAAGGAUAUGGUUUGCCUUUGUUGGAGUUUUCCAUCAAGAUAAAUAUUGUAACACAGUUUUCAACAUAACUGUUUGGAAAAUUAAUCAAGGGAGUUUAAGAUUAGUGAGAGAUUAAAUUUGGAAUUGAAAAUAUAAAGAAUACACAAGAAUUGUUUAUACACUUCGGUUUCUCUAUGUUUGUUAAGCUUAGUUCAAUGAGAAAUAUUUACUCUCUUUAACAGAUACAUCAAGUGAUCCUAACCUAUCACACACCCCGUCAUGAUUCUCCUCACUUUCAAACCUUAAAAAACAAUAUUUUCACCACUAAAUUUAUCCCUAUGAACUUAUCAAGUAAAAUCACAAUACAAUCGGUUUUACUAGCAAUUUGCACUCUAAGAAAAGUUGCUUAAAUUGAACAAGAUGAGUGUUAAAAACUCUCAAUACAAAAAUCUAUACAAGUCUCUCCCUUAAAUAGAUUUUCGUUCGAGACUUUCUAACAUACAAGAUCUAUAACAAUCUCAUUAAAACAACAAUACUGUUUACAAUAUAAUAAUAGAGAAUAAAACAAAGUGGAAUCUUGGAAUCUAAUCAUAUAGAGUUUCAAUCCAACCCAAAUAUCUAUGUUGCAAAGAAUUGUCUUGGGUGAUUUAAUUUGAUCUAACCUUCAUCAUUGGACUAAAUAUUCUCUAAACAAUCAACACAUCCCAUUCAAAUGGUUCAGUAAAUUGUCAAUACUCAAAUAUGAAAAUUGCCACCCAAUAGCUCCAAUGUUAGGGAAGCGCACUUUCUUGGCACUUAAAGGGCAGUUUCAUAUUUUCAAUAUAAUAUAUAAUAAAUAACGAAAUAUAUGGUUUGAAAAUUAAUUAAUCAUAAUAACACAUGAAAGUAAUACCAUAAAUACAUUAGAUUAACAAAACUAAAUGCACUACAAUUAUUUACCAUUGCGUUGUCAUCAAUUGUGAGUUAGUGUCAAGUUGACUUGUGACACAAACUCAAUUAACAACAUUAUUAUAUACAAUUGAUGGAGAUAAUAAAUUGCACAUAUUAAAAUAAAAAUGUAUAUAGUACAUCAAAAUGAAACUUUGGUUAAAUGGUAAAUUUAAGGGUGUAUUAAUUUAAUUCGCGUGGAUUCAAAUUUCACUGUAUGUAUUUUUUUAUUGAUUUGUUUUAAAAUAAAAAGACUAAAAUACCUUCAAAUAAUAUAAUUUAUUUUAAUUACAAAAGCGUAUUUUUAUAAUUUCCCUAACUGAGUUGGUGACCGAGAGUGACACUAACUUAGUAAAACACUUAAUAAAUAGUAUAGAAGUAUACAUACAACUGAUAGAGGUAAUAAAUUGUGCAUAUUAAAAUAAAAAUAUAUAAAAUAUAUCAAAAUGAAAUUUUGAUUGAGUAGUAAAUUUAAAAGUUUAUUGAUUUAAUUAUCGCGGGUUCAAAUCUCACCAUAUAUAUAUUUAUUGGUCUUUGUUAAAAUAAAAUACUAAAAUAUUCGCCAAAUAAUAUAAUUUAUUUUAAUUAUAGAAAGAUAUUUUCGUAAUUUUUCUAAUUGAGUUGGUAAUAGAGUUGAGGGUGACACCAACUUAGUACAACUAAAGUUAGGCUCAUCUAUAUAUCUAUAUAUCUAUAUAUAUUGUGAACUUCAAAGAUAGUAAAUAGAGUAAAAUAAGAAUGUGUUUAAUAAAUUAAAAAAUAUAGGAAUAAAUUAUAUUAAGAUGAUUCUAAAAUAUAUAAAAUUUUAAUUUUUAAAAUAUUUAAAAUAUUAAAAUAACGCAAUACCACUAUAUUAGGCUCCAUCUAGUUUGAAAAUAUUUUCUAUUUCCAUUUUUUUAAAAAUAAUUUAGAUAAAAUAAUGUUGUUCAUUUUAACUUAACACUAUAUCAGGUUUCCCCUAAACCCAGGUUACAGCCGACUGGGCAAUGGAUAUAAAUAGCUAGCCAAGUGGGUUGUGGUAAGCAACCACAACAUUGAAACACAUCCAAAGAGCAAAUUACUAGCUUGAUAGAGAUGCCUUAUUCCGAAAUGAUAGCAAAAAUGAGGUUGGCAUUGCCCGGCUUUGUCGUCCUCCAACCCAUCGAUAAGAUUGAUUACUUGGGCUAUAUUCAUGAAGGUGGAGACAAUGAUGGGUAUCUCAGGUUCAUGGAACCUCAAGCUGCGAGCCCAUAUGCGAAGUUCGAAGUUGAGUUUUCUGGCUCAAAUGACUUUGUGCAUAUAAGAAGUUGUCAAAACAACAAAUAUUGGGAACGAAAGCAAAUUCUUUCUAUCUCUGGGGGCUAUUGGGUUACAGCAACCGCCGACAAGAAGGAGGACGAUCAAUCCAAGGAGUCAUGCACAUUGUUCAAAGUUACCUCUGUAGACCAUGCCAUGAAUACGGUCCGAAUCAUGCAUGUCCAAUCAGGCUGCUAUUUAUGUUGUUGGCGAUGGGAUAGUGAAAAAUAUACUCGCGGCAUGUAUUCAUUCUACAAGACGCAUGAUCAAAAUGGCUUUGAUAUCUUCAAAUUUAUCGAUUGGAACUCGUUAUUGAUUCUACCUAGGUUCGUGGCCUUCAAAGGAUAUAAUAAUAAGUAUCUGUGUCUUCGUCGUGUUGAAUGGGACCUCCCAUAUAUGCAAUUCUCAAGUGAUGACAUUGGUGAUUCAACUGUGGCAUUGGAGGUUUUUCUUACUGAUGAUGGUUACGUCCGCAUCAAACCUGUCUGCACUGACAAGUUCUGGAGGCGUAGUCCAAAUUGGAUCUGGGCGGAUUCUAACGACAGUAGUAGCAAGAACACGGACACCGUGUUUCGCCCCGUCAGAGUUGACAAUAAGACCAUAGGUCUUAUCAACUUAGGCAACAAUGCUUUUUGCAAGAGCCUUACAACUGAAGGAAAAUAUGAUUGCCUUAAUGCAGCGACCUAUUCUCUUACAAAAGAAGCUCGACUAAUAGUGGAAGAGCCUGUUUUGACAAGGGAAAUUUAUGGUGUCAAAUAUCAUCUUGGUAACUCCAGGGUUUACGAUGAAAUAGUCCUCAUUGUAGCCAAGAAUUCAGCUUCUAACUUUUCCAACGAACCCGCCACUUUCGAUGUGAAGCUUUCAUAUACUGAUAUCAAAACUACAAAUUGGCAGAACUCAUUUUCACUGAAACUAGGUACGACAGCCACAAUGGAUUUCAAAAUUCCACUCAUUUUUGAGGGGAAGGUUGAAGUAUCGGGUGAAGUUCAAACAGGAAUCGAGUGGGGAGAGACCACUACAACGACCACUGUUGUGGAAGUUGUGUACAAAGUUACUGUGCCUCCAAUGACUAAGGUGAUCGUUUGCGUAAUCGCGACAAAAGGUAUAUGUGAUGUUCCCUUCACAUACAUGCAGAGGGACACUCUUUAUGAUGGGACCAGUGUCACAAAUGAAAUUGAAGGUGGCACUUACACCGGUUCUAAUUACUACAGCACCAACUUUGAUACCAAAGAAGAGGCACUGGAGUGAGGCAGAGCCAUAUAUGCAAAAUUCCAUUGGCUCAUAUGCUGAGAUUUACAGUGAAAGAUUGUGUGUGUGCGCGCAUAAAAUAAAUUCGUGUUUCCUUCAUGGAAGCAUGCAUGUCGCUUCUUACUAUAUCUAUAUGUCGUUUGGUGUGUCAAUGUGUGUUGCAUAAAAUAAAAUCAUGUUUCCAUCAUGGAAGCAUGCAUGUUGUUUUCUUACAAUAUGUACUACCUGCAUAGCUCAGUGGCAUUAUAUUUCUCACAGGCAGAAAUAAUAUAUGAUGUUUUUAUGUGUUUUAGGAUAUAACACUUGACCAAAACAUAAUUGGUUUUGGAUUUUAUUAAAUAAACUUUAAUGUUGAAUCAAUAGGUUACCGAUAGAUCAAAUACAAAUUUCUAAACAUCUAAACUUAUUAGUGGACCAUUAUUAAUCAUUUACGGUCAAGUAGCCAAAAGGGAGAAUGAAAAUUUUUUCAUUUAUACUCUUUAUAAUUUAUAAAAUUUUAAAUUAGUAAUGGUAAAAUUAUAUUUUGAAUCCCUAAAAACAAUAAUAAUUUAAUUUAAUUUUUUUAAAAAUUAUAAAGAUAUAAUCUAUUAAAUUGAUAAAAUUACAUUUUUAUUAUAAUAAAAAUAUAUAAUUUAAUUCCAAUAUCUAUUUUUUUUUUCUCACUCCACCACUAAUCAUUUAAUAACAUUUUUAUAUUUAUCCUUAUUUGCUGGAAACUAUUGGAAUUGUGUCAAUGUGGAUACCAUAUUUCUUUUAAUUGAUGGACCAUAUUGUGUUUUCUUUUAGAUAACAUUAAGUGACAUGCUAUGUAUUGUAAAAUUGUAAUUAAUAUUAUUUUCGAGAAGUAAUGAAUUCAUUAAACUUUUCAAGCUGAUAAUGAAAUAAUCUUUAAUUAUAGUUGGCAUUCAUUAAUAUUUUUGGCAUACAUUAAUGACAAACUUUGUAUUUAAAAGAAUAGGCUAUGGUAUACACUACAAAAUUUAGUGGCUACAAGAUUUGAGGAUGUAUGGGUGUGACUUGUAUUUAUUAGAUCAUGUUUUGUAGGUAUUUAGAAAUAUGUUUGAUAAUUUAUUAAAGAAAAGGUAAAAUAGAGGCGUCGUUGCAACGACGCAAUGAAACCCCAAACAAAUGUGACAGUGUCGUCGUGACGAGCAUGCAUGGGAUGUCACAAUGUCACGAGAUUUUUUCAAGUUAUGCAGUUGCGUAUUAGACUUCAAGUGGGACUGUUUUCCCCAGUUGGACUUUGAUUAUUUCAGAGAUAUGUUAGUCUGAUUAGAACUCUAAUCUAAGCCUAUUUAAAGGAUCAUUGUAUCCCUGUUUUGACAUGCUAAUCAACUAAGGUUUUUCUCUUUGAGGGCGAUAAGAUGUAGGCGCAUGCGAAUUUUUUUGUAAGAGUUUCGUGGUAACUAUAAAAAGAAUUUUGUUCCUAAGUUAGGAUUUUGUUUUCGGAGUUUGAGAUUGUACGUUUAGUACUUUCAGGUUUAUUUUCUUCAUAUUGUACUCUCGUUUGUUUACUCAUUUAGUGAGGAGUCGAUACAUCCUUUGCUUGUGUUUUUUCCCUCUUUGAGAGUUUUUCACAUAAAAUAUUUGUAUUCGUUCUUCUCUACUUUUCUUAUUAAUUGUUUAUAAAGAUUGAUCCCAAACAAGAAAAUUUAAAUCCAACCUUGUUCGCCUUGGGCACUCCCUGACCCGAUACAACCCAUCACAUAAGAAACAACUGAAGGAUCCCUGUUUGCCCUUUCUCAUAGUUGUCACGGUCUUGCUCUUCCUUUGGUGUGCAUUCUGUUAGAGUAACUAAUAAAACUAAUAAGUUAGUUAAUAGCAGUUAGCAGUUAAGAGUCUGUUAAGCAGUUGGCAGUUAUCUCUAUAUAACGUGCAUACAUGGAAGUAAGGUUUUUUACAACAGUUUUACAUCUCAUAAUUCACUUCUUGAUUCAAUAUAGAAGUUGUACUGAAUGUUUAACAUGGUAUCAGACUGCCAUUGAUCCUUGGCGAAUUGGUUUUCUGUGGCCUUCAUGUCUUGGCCCUCCAGUCCAUCUGCAGUUCAGUCCGGCACAUCUCCGAUAGCUUCCAGCCUGCCCGAUGGUAUGGUUGAUAGCAGAUUUCUCUCUACUAAAAAGAUUAAUGUCCUUCUUGAUGACACUAAUUAUCUGUUAUGGAGUUAACAGAUUUUUUUGGUGAUCAAAACUUUCAAGCUUUAGCAUUUUUUAGAUUUCUGAACUGUUGCUUCCCCGCAGUUUCUUUCCGAUGCUGAUGGAGUACUUUAAGAAAAUGUUGACUUUAUUGGGUUUGAGCAAUAAGCUAGUGCUCUUGCGUCUUGGCUUCUGUCUUCUGUAAGCCCGAGGGUUCUUCCUCACCUUAUUGGUUUGGACACCAGCGCUCACAUUUGGAAUUCCAUUGUUGUUCUCCAUUGAAGCAAAACCACGUCUCGCCUGAUGUUCUAUAGGCGUGCUUUACACUCUCAGAAAAAAGGUGAGUUGUCUAUGUGUGAUUUUUUAGUAAUGAUUAAAGGAUAUUGUGCUAGUCUUGCCAGUUGUGGAGAGUCUAUUAGUGAACAUGAGCAUGUCACGGCUAUCCUAAAUAGGCUGCCCUUAAAUACGAAUCUGUGAUCACUAUUAUUGUUGAAACCAAUUUUUAAAGGGAUGUUUGAAAAAUGGGGAUCGACUUUUGAAAAACGAAAACGGGAGUCGCCACCAACCUUUUUAGGUGUGAUUGGAUCACCUUAUAAAACGUUUUGGUCUACAAAAAUUAAGAAAACAAGUUCGGGAGUCGGUUACGUACGAGGAAGGAUUAACACCCUCGCAACGCCUAAAAUUGGUACCAAAUUGAAUAGUUUUUUGUCUUAAUGUCAAAAAUUUGAAAGGAUUUAAAAAUAGGAUCCCUUUUUUAAAACCAGAAUUAUUUAAGUUGAAAAAUCGAGAUUCCUUAGCUCCGAAAGAAUACAAACAUCACAUCUAGCAUGAUAGGACACGAUAUUCUUAAACUCUCGUAACUGAAAUCAUCUUGUGAUUUACAAAAUCUAUUUAGAAGGAUACUUUAGGCAUUUAGACAAACGAAAAAUCGCAACCGAGCAUGUUAGGACACUAUUUCCCGAAUUCCUAAAUACGAAAAACAUUGCCUCAUUUUAGAAAAACUUUUGGAUAAAAUAUGACAAUUAAAUGAAAUAUAUUUUUUAAAAAAUAAUGAUUUGAAUAAAAUUUAAAAAAUAAUUUACUAAGAGUAAUACUAAAAAAUAUAUUAAAAAAUGAAAGAGUUUUGAUAUGAUACUAAAAUUAUUUUAAAAAAAUUAAAAUAUAUAAAAAAAUCAGGGAAACAUGGAUUAAAUCAAAAUAAAAAGGGUUGAAAAACGAAGAUGAACAAAGAAUAAAAUAAGAACAAACCGUAGAAAAUAAGAACGUAAGAGGGAAAGAAAUUUGAGUGAAAGCUCUAAAAAAUUUUUAUUGUUUCCCAAAACUCCAGUGUGUUUGCAAUGAAGGGAGAGGCCUCUAUUUAUAGUUGAACCUCCUCAAAUCCAACGGUACAGAUCAAUUACAUCAACGGUUAAGAUUAAAAGGUAUCUACAAAUUAAAUCUCUAAGAUUACAAAAUCAUAUCUUCUAAGAUUGCAUAUCAUAUCUAAGAUUGCAAUCAUAUCUAAGAUUGUAUCAUAUCUAAGAUUGCAUAUCAUUGAAGAUUAUAUUUCCAUAUGAGUCAAGCUUGUAGAUGGACCUUAAAUCUUUUCAAGCAAUGGGCCAUUCCGAUCGGGCCAAAUUAUAUUUGUAAUUCUGGACUGAACUUGGACUUCAUUUUUUUUUUGGACUUAUUUCUGGGCCCAGGCAAAAUUGAGUGUCUACAGCUGCCCCUCUUUGCUCAUUGCUGUGUAACAGGAAUAGAGCAAAUGUAAUAGCCUGAAUUUCAAUGAUGUCGAAAAUAGUGGUUCGAGACCAUCAAAUCUGAAAAAUGAACUCGUAGAUUAUAUUAUUUAAUAUUUACGAGCCAAAUGUAGUUUUUAAAAGAUUUUUGGAAUAGUAAAUUGUGUUUUAUAAAGAUUUAUUUGGUCAAGAAAUUGAUAAAAAGAAGUAUCGAGAUCUCGAUGUUAUAAACCGAGCCAUAAAUAUUUUUAUAAAUAUUUACGGAAUGUCAAUAAGGUAGUAUUAAAAUUUCGUUAGAAAAUUUUGACAUUUGGGUGGUCAAUUAAAUAAAAAGGAUUAAAUUGGAAAAUGUGUAAAAGUUGCUAAAAGGAUUAAAUAGCUCAAUUGUCAAAUGAGGAAGGACCUAAAGUGAAAAUAAGCCAAAAGGAGAUAUUUCGGGCAAUAGCUGAGAAAAAUCAGGAAAUGAGUGAAAUAAGGGCAAAAUUGGAAAAUUGUCAAAAUUAGCUAAAUAAAAAUGGGACUAAACUGGAAUAUCUAGAAUUCUCUUCAUUUCUCUUCAUAUUCAUCAGCUGAAAAACAGCCAUGGAAGGGGGUUCAAGUUGGUUUUCAUGCUCUACCUUCAUGUAAGUUUAAUUCUUGCUUUCUCCUUGAAAUUUCUAUUUUUUUGAAAUUUUACAAUUGGGUCCAACUUACUAUUUCAUUAGUUUUUGAUUCCAUGGCUAAUUUUUAAAGUUUUUAUGGAUGAGUGCUGAAAUAAUAUGAUGAAUAAUCAUAGAAUUGAAGCUUUAAUUUUGGUAUAUGAUGAUUUUAUCAAGUAAAAUUGAUGGAAAUUCAUUUUAGGACCUAAUUAAGAAAGAGUUUGGAAUUAAUGUCUAAUGCUAAAGUUCUGAUUUUUAGGGGUUAUGAAGAAGUUUAAAAUGAUAGACUAAAGUAUUAAUUGAAAAAAAUUAGCUCAAUUGAGGGGUUAAUUGAGCAAGGCCUGAAUUGUAUAAACUGUGAAAUUUGGGGCAAAAUGGAAAUCAACAUUUUUCACUAAAACUGUUUUGGACAGCAGCAGUAUUGUAACUUUGAAAAUCACCAAAAAUUAUAGAAAUUGAAUUAGAGGAUGAAUAAAAUAUGAAAUUAAAUCUUAUUGAGUCUAGUUUCUUAUAAAAGAAACUAUGUAAGUAAUGGAAUUGUGAAUCAUGAGAUAUAAUAAAUUUUAUGAUACAAGGUCAGAAGGAUUUCGGGUUCCCCUGUUUUGACUUUGGAAAAUCAUAAAAAAUUGGAUAAAAAUAAUUAGGGGCUUAAAUUUAUAUGUUUAGAAUCCUUAAUGAGCCUAUUUUCCAUAGAAACAAACGACAACAUCAUUUGAAUCUUGUACGAGGAUAUAAUUAAUUUUUAGUGAAAAAGAGUCGGAACUGUUAGACAGCAGAACAGGGGUAACUUUAAAGAAUAAACUGUACUUAUUGGCUAAACCAAAAAUUCUGAAAAUUUUAUGGUAAGAAGAUAUAUGAGUCUAGUUUCAGAAAAAAUUAUCGGAUCUUAAUUUGGAAUUAUAUAGCUCUAGAUAUAAAUAAUUUAGUGACUAUGACACAGAUGGACAGCUUGAAUAUUCAUAAAAGUAAAUAAUAAAAAUUAUAGAUGAUGUUACUUGCAAGUGUGUUAUAUACAUUAAGCAUGGCUAAUUUGCUUGUUUUAGGCUUAAGGACUAAAUUAAAUAAAAGUAAAACUUCAAGGGAAAUUUUGUAAAAAUGUCAAAAUGACCAAAUUGAAGGGAAUGAAUUGUUUUUAUUAUCUAAAUUAAUAAAUUGAAUGAAAUUGUCAAUUUAAUAUCGGGUGAAAAUUGGGAAAAUGGUAAAUUACCAAAAUGUCCCUAAAUCUUGAUAUUUCUACAAUUUUGCUAGGUAAGUUUAUGUAACUUGAAUUAUAUUCUUUAAUGCUUAAAAUAUAUGUUAUUGAUGUGAACAUGAUUUGAAUGUUCAUUGUAUGAAAAUUGAUGAAACAUUGAUAUAUUUGAUAAAAUGAGAAGAAAUCCCGGUUGAAUGAAAGGAAAUUUCGAUGGAUCUCUGAAAAGGAAUUGGCGGUAAAAAGGGUCUAGCCCGGACGGGUGAUCCUAUCCUGAUAUAGCCCUCCCGAAGAAUAUUUGGAAAAUGGAUUUAGCCCGGACGGGUAAUCCGAAUUAGGGUCUGAAUUUAGCCUGGACUGGUAAUUCAGAUCCAAGCUCAUUAGAGUAAUUGUCGUUGCAGGGGAUUUAGCCUGGACUGGUAAUCCCGACAAUACUCUAUGAGUUUAUAUUAUAGGGGAUUUAGCCUGGACUGGUAAUCCCACUGUAAGGAUGAGGUUCGCGGGAGUGUGCUCUCUGAUAUGGAAUGUGUAAGACCAUGGUUGAAAGAUACCAUGGCAACCUGAUAUGAAAUGUGUAAGACCAUGGUUGAAAGAUACCAUGGCAACGUGAUAUGAAAUGAAUAAGACCAUGGUUGAAAGAUACCAUGGCAACCUGACAUGAAAUGAGUAAGACCAUUGUUGAAAGAUACCUUGGCAACAUGACGGGAAAAUGAAUAAGACCAUGGUUGAAAGAUACGAUGGCAACAUGACAGAAAACGAGUAAAAUCAUAGUUGAAAGAUACUAUGACAUCAUGUCGAAGAUAAAUAAGAUCGAGGAAGAGAAACGCCAAGAUAUCUAUUGAACAAUCGAUAUUCAGGUAAUAUGUAUCAGAUGGAAUGGUUAUAUGAAAUGGUUGUGUGAAAUGUUUACAGGAAUUGGUCAUAUGGAAAUAUAUGUACAAAAUAGUUGUAUGAAAUAAUUAAGAAGAUAGAUAAAUGAAAUAAGUAUAGGUACAUGGAAUUUAAUUUAUGUUAAGUUUAAUACGAACUAUUACCGAAAUAAAUAUAUACACGAUAUUAGGAAAUGAUGGUGCAUGAAAUAUUGAUAUAACGAAAUUAAUGAUAUAUGCUUAUGAAGAAACAGUAAGAGAAUAAUAAAUUUUGUGACAUGUACAUAUAUAAUUAUCUUUGAUAUGUUGAUACAAGGAAAUUAUGUAAGUUGAGACUAUUAUUAAACUCAAGUGUGAUAUGUUGAGAAAAUAGGUAUAUGAAUGUUGAAUUUAUAUGAAAUAUGUGCAAGUAUACUAACAAUGUUGUUGUUUGACGCUUAGACAAGUGCCAAGUUAUUGAUUGACUGGUAACAUGUUUAAUUAUAAGGAGCAUUGAAAUGGUAAGUACUUAGAUGAAAAUAUAAUUUAAGAUUUUGUGAAUUUUUUUUUAUGAUCUCAAUUUUAUUCUAGUUGAUUUCUAAUGUAUGUUUUGGGCUUCGAGGGCCCAAUAGAGAGAUGUUAUGAUUAUUUCAAAAUAUGAAUAAUAAAUGACUCAAAAUUAUCUGAAAAUAUUCAGUAAACUCCGGUAAUGCCUCGUACCCUAUUCCGGCAAUGAAUACAGGUAGGGGUGUUACAGCAAAGACUAUAAAAGGACCAAUUUUGCCUGGGCUCGCCGAGUCUUGAUUUCUUGAUCCUUGAUCUUCUUUAAAUGGCCUCUUGACGGCUUCAAUCUGCUUCACUGCAACUUAGGAAGGCGAUAUCUACUAUCUUUGAUCUGCUUCCCGUCUAAUACAGAGACGCCAAAUCUGUUAUCUUUGAUCUGCUCCUCGUCUAAUACAGAGAUGCCAAAUUUGCUUCUUCAAUCUGCUCCCCUUCUAAUAAAGAGAUGCUAAAUCUGUUAUCUUCGAUUUGUUCCCUGUCUAAUACAGAGAUGCCAAAUCUGUCAUCUUGGAUCUGCUUCGAUGUAAACACAUGAAGGUCAGAUCUGCUAUGUCUUCGAUCUGCUCCCCGUCUAAUACAGAGAUGCCAAAUCAUCUUGGAUCUGCUUCAAUGAAGGUCCAAUCUGUUAUGUCUUCGAUCUGCUCCCCGUCUAAUACAGAGAUGCCAAAUUACAUUGGAUCUGCUUCAAUGAAGGUCAGAUCUGCUGUGUCUUCGAUCUGCUCCCCGUCUAAUACAGAGAUGCCAAAUCAUCUUGGAUCUGCUUCAAUGAAGGUCAGAUCUGCUGUGUCUUCGAUCUGCUUCCCGUCUAAUACAGAGAUGCCAAAUCAUAUUGGAUCUGCUUCAAUGAAGGUCAGAUCUGCUAUGUCUUCGAUCUACUCUCCGUCGAAUAUGGAGAUGCCAAAUCUGUUUCUUCGAUUUGUUCUUUGACAGUACAGAAAUGCCAAAUCAUCUUAGAUCUGCUUCAGUGUAAACACGUGAAAUCCAAAUCUACUAUGUCUUCGAUCUGUUCCUUGUCAACGCAAGGAUGCCAAAUCAUCUUGGAUCUACUUCGAUGUGAAAACAUCCGAAGGUUAGAUCUGCUAUGUCUUUGAUCUGCUCUCCGUCAAAUAUGGAGAUGCCAAAUCUGUUCUUCGAUUUGUUCUCUGACAACACAGAGAUGUUAAAUCAUCUUGGAUCCGCUUCAGCGUAAACACCUGAAGGUCAAAUCUGCUAUGCUUUAGCCUGUUACCCUACUGCUUGGGGGGUUAAGGCGCAUCAAUCUUCAUUGUCCCUUGAAGUACAUAACCUGUAUAAUGUGUAUGAGUUCAUGCCUAAUGAUUAGGAUGCUAUGAUCGAAGUAAGUCAAAUGCUCCUAAUUAAACCUGCUAUAAUGUAAAAUGUUUAUGAAUAUGACCCCUAUUCCAGACGUCACCACUCAUUCUUUCAUCGAAGUUUAUCCUUAUUUCUCUCGAAGUAUCAUUCCUACUCAGCCUGUGGGUUUGUACCAUUCUUCAAAUGCUAUGACCCACCAAAAAUGUCUGUAAGAUGAUCCCCUCUUAGGAUCGAAUCAUUUGAUUUGUCCAAUCAUCAUUUUGGACUAAAGAAAGAAUUUCCUCAAGUUCUUUCAAACCUCACUUACGUGAAUUCUUCGAACAAUUGUUCUGUUUUAGUUUCUUGUAUUAUCUAGAAAUUUUCAGAGUAAUGAGCAAAACUUCAUUUGUGAAAAUUAUUUAGUUCAUCUAUCAUUAUUUUAAUGCAACAUACUUUAAGAAUAAUGGAAGAUGAGUUUAAUCUUGAGAAUAAUUAGAUUUGAAUAAAUUUGUCAAAAAUACAAAGGAAAUUAAUCUGAAAGCCUAUCUUUGAGAAGAAAAAGAAUCUAAAGAUAGCAAACAAGACAAAAGUUAGAUGCCCUAGAUAUCGCCGCUUGAGCGUUUAUAUGCCAGCUCCAUGAAGACUUUCUUGAAUUCAACAUGUGUUUAAAAGAUCUAAAGUACUUUGUUGAUGCCCCGAUAUGCAACGCGCUUUACUCUUCGUUGAAUCAGAUAUAGCAAGAUUACCAUGUGCUUUUCAAAAUUUGAGCUGCCCUUUCGGGUUUUCAACUCAAAACCCCUUUGGUCACAAGGCGCCCUUUGCGGGUUUUCACCUUGGCCUCUCUAUUUUUUUUCGAAAACUCAAGGCGCCCUUUGCUGGUUUUCACCCUGAAUUCUUCUCUCCUUUAGACAAAGUACUUUUUGACUGAGUCUGAAUUCACUGGAUUGGGCAAACUCUUCCCAUCCAUUUCCGUUAAGAUCAAUGCACCAUCAGAGAAGGCUUUCUUCACGACAUACGACCCUUUCCAAUUUGGCAUCCAUUUUCCUCUAAAGUCCUUUUGAAUAGGGAGGAUCUUUUUCAGCACAAGAUCCCCCUCGUAGAAUUCUCUUGGUCGCACUUUCUUGUCAUAAGCUCGUAUCAUUCGCUUCUGAUACAUCUGACCAUGACGAAUGACCUUUAGCCUAUUUUCCUCAAUCAAGUUCAACUGAUCAUAUCGCGAUUGUAUUCAUUCAGCUUCAUUCAAAUUUAUCUCUGACAAGACUCGAAGAGACGGUAUUUCCACUUCAAUGGGUAACACUGCUUCCAUCCCAUAAACCAACGAGAAAGGAGUUGCCCCGGUAGAAGUUCUGACAGACGUUAGGUAAGCUAAGAGUGCAAAUGGUAACUUCUCAUGCCAGUCUCUGUAGGUUUUAGUCAUUUUCCCUACUAUCUUCUUGAUGUUUUUGUUAGCAGCUUCCACUGCCCCAUUCAUCUUUGGGCGAUACGGCAAAGAGUUAUGAUGCUUAAUCCUGAACUGACUGCAAACUUCUGCUAUCGUUUUGUUGUCCAAGUUCAGUGCAUUGUCUGAUAUGAUCCUUUUAGGCAUCUCAUACCGACAAAUAAUCUCUUUCUUCAAGAAACGACUUACAGCCGACUUAGUAACAUUCGCAUAAGAAGCAGCCUCUACCCAUUUCGUGAAGUAAUCAAUGACCACAAAAAUAAAGGUGAUAUUGGCCCAAUGACAUCCAUGCCCUACAUAGAAAAAGGCCAUGGAGAAGUCAUAACGUGUAGAGGUGAAGGUGGUACAUGAAUCUUGUUUCCAUAAAUCUGACAUUUAUGGCAUUUUUUGGCAUAGUUGAUACAAUCCCCUUCUAAAGUAGACCAAUAAUAUCCAAACCUCAUGAUUUGUCUAGCCAUCAUGAACCAAUAACACCCUGGUGAACUUCUUCCAAGAUUAACUUAGCUUCCACAGCGUCAGCACAUCUCAACAGUACUUGGUCUGUAAGACCCAAUUUGUGCCCGAGCUUACAUCAAAACCAAAACCCAAACCAAAAAAUAAAACAAAAAAAAUAUAAAAAUAAUAAAACCAAAAUAAUUUAAAAGUCCAUUAGUCCAAGAUAGUCCAUGACUCAAUAAACUUAACCCCUUAGCCCAUUACAUUAAACCCAAACACUAAAUAUUAACUCAAUAGCCCAACAUCCAAUGGCCCAAAACUAAAAUACAGCUAAAUUUUUGGCGAACUCUAGCCAACAGUCAGUGCCGCAAACGCCAUCAGCAGCCCAACGUACGCGUGCCACGCUCCACGCCUACGAACGGUUUCACCAUAACCUCCACACCUGUAAUAGAUUAAUAAGCAAAAACAGAAAGUAGCAAGUUGACAGCAGAUUACAGCAAAUUACAGCAAAGAAAUCUAUUUCUUUUUCCUUUUAUUUUAUUUAUUUUUCGGCUAUAAAAACCGAAGGAAAAUGAUGUAAAAGGGGAUGGAAUGGAGGCACACGGAGAAAAGCAUAUUGAAAAGAAAAAUUCAAAAGCAUUUUUUAAAGGUGAUUUUCGAUUUCCUAGUUGCUUUAGUUUUCCGUUGAAUCUUCUCACUUUCUUUUUCAAUUUUUCGUUGUUGUAUUUAAAAGCAAAGGGAAAAGGAGAAAAGGGACGAUACCUUGUGAUUUGGCCAUCGGUUCACUCUUGCUUCGUCGAAAUCGAAGUUUAAGGGGAUCUUGAGGCUAAAAAACACCCUUCAAGGCUUGAAUGAACCGAUCGCUGUUCAUGGAGGUUGAUUGGAGUUUGAAUGAAGGGAUUUUGGGAAUGGUUGAGGGAGAAACAAAGGGACUGGAGAUGAGAAUCGGCCAAACGAGAAGAAAAGUAUGGGGAAAUAAAAAGGGGCUAGGGUUAUUUUAAAAGGGGCUGAUUGUUUUCUUUGUUUUUUAAAGGAAAUAUGUGGUUUUAUAAAAGUGAAGAAACAACACCGUUUCAAAAGGGAAAUGUUUGGUUAUUUUUUGUAGAUGGUCAAUUUGCUCGAUUGGUCCCCUUCUUUCGCGUUAGCACGCGAUCAAGCCUACUUCAGAUUUCUUUGUUUUUUAAUUUUGCCCGCAAAAUUUGUGCGCCAAUUCAAUUGGAUCCGCGCUUAAGCAUUGCAUUUUGAUAUUCGGAUUAUUUACAUUUUCAAUCGUUGUACGUUCACACGCAUUGCAUUUUGACCCUUCUUUUUCUGUUUUAAUGAUCUAUUUUAUUUGUUAAUUGCCCCCUUUCAAUUUGAUUUUAUCUCAAUUAAGUUUUAUUUCAAUUUGUAUGCUUCAUUACUGUUUUUUAGAAAUUCACUUUAACAUUCAUCUCUUAAUUUUAUUUUUUUUAUGUGUACAUUUUGAAGUGUCUUGAUAGGUUUUUUUUCUCUCUUUUUCAAAUUUUUUUAAAUUCCUUUUUAUAUUAUAUCAUUAUAACAUUUUGCAUAAUAUUUUAUACGUUAUUAUAUAUAUAAUUUAUGAUGAAGUUGAUUUUAUUCUGUGUAUAUUAUUAGUAUUAUGUUAUUUG